rnacentral:lncRNA from 1 species
GCGGCCCAGGAGGAGAAGAAGAAAAAGAAAAAGAAAGAGAAAAGGAAAAAGGUUUUGGAAAUUGAAUUUAAACUUGAAAUUCAAAUUUUUGGUUCAAACUCCAACAAUCAAAAAUUAUGCUCCAGCAUGAAUACACAAUUAACUCCUAUGAUGAAUUUAAUUAAAUUAAAGAAAAUGAAUUUAAAUGCCUAGAAUUUAAAUGACACCCUAAUUUGAGCAAAAUUUUAAUGAAUUUGAAUUAUUAAAAAUUUUGGGUGUUACAAAUCCUACCCCCCUUAAGAAGAAUCUCGUCCUCGAGAUUCGCAAGAUCUUGCAAAGAGAUGGGGAAAUUCCUUCUGUAACUCGUCCUCUCUUUCCCAAGUUGCCUCGUCCUCUGUAUGGUGACUCCACUGAACCUUGCACAUUCUGAUCGUCCGAUUCCUCGUAACCCUCUCUGAAGUAUCCAAAAUCUUAACGGGGUAUUCCGUGUAAGUGUGGUCAUCCUGAACAUUCAAUUCCUUCAUAGGCAACUGUUCCUCGGGAACUCUGAGGCACUUCUUAAGUUGUGAGAUAUGGAACACGUCGUGUACAUCUGACAACUGAUUAGGCAACUCCAAUCGAUAGGCUACCUGUCCCACUCUCUCAAGAAUCUUGAACGGACCGAUGAACCGAGGUGACAAUUUCCCUUUGACCUUGAAUCUGCGCAUACCCCUGAUGGGCGAUACCUUGAGAUACACAUAAUCACCUACCUCAAAGGUCGAUUCUCUUCUCCUGGUGUCAGCAUAACUCUUCUGUCGAGAUUGUGCAGUCCUCAAGUUUUCUCGGAUAAUCUGGACCUGUCUUUCUGCCUCUUGUAUAAUUUCUGGCCCGAAUAACUGACUCUCUCCUGUCUCACUCCAAUAAAGGGGUGUUCGGCACUUUCUACCAUACAAAGCUUCAAACGGCAACAUUUUAAGACUGGCUUGAUAACUGUUAUUAUAGGAGAAUUCUGCAUAGGGUAAACUCUUGUCCCAACUACCUCCAUGCUUCAAUGCACAUGCUCUUAACAUAUCCUCCAAUAUUUGAUUUGUUCUCUCGGUCUGUCCAUUCGUCUGAGGGUGAUAAGCGGAACUGAAAUUCAAUCUUGUACCUAGAGAUUCAUGCAACUUCUGCCAGAAAUGUGACGUGAACUGAGUACCUCGGUCAGACACUAUCUUCUUGGGCACACCAUGCAAACACACAAUCCUUGCCAUAUACAACUCUGCUAGCUUGGACCCGGUGUAAGUAGUCCUUACCAGUAUGAAGUGAGCUACUUUGGUCAAUCGAUCCACUAUGACCCAUAUGUAGGGAUACGAGGUAGGCUACGCUAGCGCAAAACAAAAUUUCUACCGCGUAAAACCAGGAAGAACAGCCGUAUAAGGAUCACGGGAUUACCACUCGACGCACUACUGGUGCGAAAGAUGUAGAUAUGCGUCGAUGCAGUAUAGACGAUCACGUAGUCGUACAUAGUCGAUCAACGUAGUCGUACGUAGUCGAUCACGUCCAACAGCUCCUCAGCAGCUCGUCCACGUGCAGCAAGAUCGCCUCCGGUACCGCGGCUCGUCGUCGGCUCGUCGUGGCUCGUCGGCGGCUCGUCCAAGUGCUGCAGGCCAACACCUCCAAGGUAUCCACACGUGCAGGGAGGAAGCGUCGCAAGCCGGACUGCUAGAUCCGUGAGUUGCAACAGGCGAGGGCGUGGGAGGCGCGGCAGGUGUGUUUCGCCAAAAGGUGUAAACCCUAGGGCACCCCCACCCUGAUGGGCCUCUAGAUCCGAGGCCCAUUAGUACUCCUAAACCUAAUCCAACUCGGAUCAGAUCCGAAUUGGGCUUCCAGCCCCUUAAGUGUGUGACCCUAUGGGUUCGGAUACGUAUAGACAUGGCCCGAGUACUCCUACUCGGCCCAAUAGUCGGUAGCGGCCUCUAGCAAGACGUGCCAACUCCUAUACGCACACGAAGAUCAUAUCAGACGAACCAUCACAACAUAAUAUACAUGCUAUUCCCUUUGCCUCAUGAUAUUUGGUCUAGCUUCAAGCCGACUGCUCUUUCUCGAUCCUGUGAUUCGGAAUCCCUUUGUAGGUUAACUUUUAACCGUACGUAGCAUGGCCAUGCAUUUUCGGAUCCGAUCACUCGAGGGGCCCAGAGAUAUCACUCUCAAUCAGAGAGGGGCAAAUCCCAUCUUGAUUGACCAUGUCUCAUAGCAUGCUUCUUGACAAACCCGAAAGCUACCUUUAUAACUACCCUGUUACGGCGUAGCGUUUGAUAGCCCCUAAGUAGGUCGAUCCACAUCUAGAAUACAUGCGACAAUCUCAGGUCUAAGGACAAAGCGUAUAUGUUGUUUAAAGAGAGAACUAUUUCUCGUGUUGGGUCAGUCCUAGCACAUGUCUCCACAUGUGUCCACAUUAUUAGUUCAACAUCUCCAUGUCCAUGACUUGUGAAACAUAGUCAUCAACUAAUACAUAUGCUAGUCUAAUAUUCAUGUGUGUUCUCACAUGAACUCCGACUAGGGACAACUUUAGAAUAACCGUACAAGUAAAGAGUUUCACAUACAAUUCACAUAAUUGCAAAUCAAUUCAAGUAGCCUUCAAUGGAUAUUCAAUGAACACAACAUACAAAUCAUGGAUACAAAUGGAAUAUCAUCAUCUCUAUGAUUGCCUCUAGGGCAUACCUCCAACACCAUAUGGAGUCAUACCCAUCUCGGGUGCGAGGCAAUCCCACAAUGAAAUCCAUCCCAAUUUCUUCCCACUUCCAUUCCGGCACCUUCAAUGGCUGAAGUAACCCAGCUGGCCUCUGGUGUUCAGCCUUGACCUUUUGACAUAUGUCGCAAAUGGCUACAUGUGCAGCUACAUCUUUCUUCAUUCCGGGCCACCAAUACUUUUGCUUAAGAUCCUGAUACAUCUUGGUACUUCCGGGGUGAAUGGAAUAGGCUGAAUCGUGAGCUUCUUUCAAGAUCGUCUCACGGAGAUUUUCCACAUCGGGUACCCAAAUCCUUCCUUUGACCCAUAAGGUUCCCUGAGAGUCUUCUGUAAAGUCUGUGGCUCUUCCUUCCUUUACCAUCUCCUUAACCUCCUUGACCUUGGCAUCCUCAAGUUGUCCCUUUCGUAUCUCUUGUUCUAAAAUCGACUCCACUCCCAUCGUUGCUCCCUCAGUAUGCGCAACGACGCACAAGUUGAGCCUCUCAAAAUCUUUCAUCAACUCGUCAGGUAGCUGGAAUGCUAAGGCUAAGUUAGCAUGACCCUUCCGACUCAAAGCGUCUGCAACCAAAUUAGCCUUACCAGGAUGAUAGUGAAUCUCUAGAUCAUAGUCAUUGAUAAGCUCUAACCAUCAUCGCUGUCUCAGAUUGAGGUCCUUCUGAGUGAAGAUAUACUUGAGACUCUUGUGAUCAGUAUAGAUCUGACACUUAGUCCCCAGAAUGUAGUGUCUCCAAAUCUUCAAGGCAUGUACCACUGCGGCUAACUCCAAAUCAUGAGUCGGGUAAUUCUGCUCAUGUUUCCUCAAUUGCCUGGAAGCAUAGGCGAUUACAUGACCUUCCUGCAUUAGAACACAGCCUAAACCCUGUUGAGAUGCAUCACAAUAUAUGUCAAACCCUUUAUGCAGAUCUGGCAUUACCAAUACUGGAGCUGUGGUCAACCUCUUCUUCAGUUCCUCGAAACUGGCCUGACAUGCCUCUGUCCAUUUGAAUUCCCUUCCUUUUUCUAGUAGCGUAGUGAGGGGCUUCACUAUCUUGGAGAAUCCUUCAAUGAACCUGCGGUAAUAGCCUGCAAGUCUGAGAAAACUCCUAAUCUCAGUUACUGUCUGCGGUGGAUUCCACUUCAAGACAUCCCUAACCUUGCCUGGAUCCACUGCAAUUCCACCAUCGGAGAUGAUAUGACCAAGGAAAGAGACCUCCUUCAACCAGAACUCACACUUACUAAAUUUUGCAUACAACUGAUGCUCCCUCAACUUCUGAAGCACUAACCUCAAAUGUUCCUCAUGUUCUUCCUUACUCUUGGAGUAAAUCAUGAUAUCAUCAAUAAACACCACAACGAACUUAUCCAGGUACUCCAUAAAUACCUUAUUCAUCAGAUACAUGAAGUAAGCUGGAGCAUUUGUCAGCCCGAAUGACAUUACCGUGUACUCAAAGAGACCAUAUCUGGAGGUAAAAGAAGUCUUGGGUAUGUCGGACGGCCUGAUCUUCAACUGAUGAUAACCUGAUCGCAAGUCGAUCUUGGAGAAUACCUUGGCUCCUCUCAUCUGAUCGAACAGAUCCUCAAUGCGAGGCAAUGGGUACUUGUUCUUGACGGUUACCUCGUUCAGUGCUCUAUAAUCCACACACAUCCUCUGGGUACUGUGGUUCUUUGGCACAAAGAUAACCGGUGCUCCCCAUGGUGAUGAACUAGGCCGAAUAAACUGUUUUGCUGAUAAUUCCUCUAAUUGUUGUUUCAAUUCUUUUAAUUGCUCAACCGACAUUCUAUAAGGGCAUUUGGAGAUAGGUGCAGUACCAGGUAAAAGAUCAAUAGUAAAUUCAAUUUCACGGUCAGGUGGCAUACCUGGUAAAUCGUCGGGGAAUACAUCCGGGUAGUCACACACCACUUUGAUAUCUUGCAAUGAUCUUCCAGCCAACUGAUUAACUGCACAAUCUGCUGCUGAGGGUAGAGUAGCUACAAACUCCACUUUCUCUCCAUCAGGACCUGUUAGCAAAACUGACCUCUUGGCACACUGAAUCGUUGCAUCAAAAGCGGCUAACCAUCUCAUUCCCAGAAUUACAUCGAUUCCACCGGACUCAAGUACGAUAAGAUCAACCGGAAAAUCUAUCCCCAUUAUUCUCAGCUUAACUUGCGGACAGAUGUAUUGAGCCUUCAUUGACCCACCAGGUGAACUCACUAGCAUAUGACGCCUCAUGGUAUGCAUGGGUAAAUUAUGCUUUGCUACAUAAUGACUAGUGACAAAAGAAUGCGAUGCUCCAGAGUCAAACAAAACUGAUGCGGGGGCAGAGUUGACAAGGAACAUACUGAGCACUACAUCUGGAGCCUCCCGAGCAGUCUCGGCGUCCAUGUGAUUCACCUUGCCACGAGCAAAGCUUUGCUGCCCCUGAUUGCCUUGUGGGGUCUGGUUCCCAUUCCUCGGUUGCUGCAUCUGAUUCUGCUGAGGAGCACUACUGUUCUGCACGGGGGUAGCUGGCCCACCUUUCUUAGGACAAGAGUUGGCAUAGUGACCAACCUCGCCACACUUGAAGCAAGUAGGGCCUACUAGAGCAUUGGGCCUUGCUAGAGUGCCAGUGGGGGUCAUCUGGCGAUUCUGCGAAAAGCUGGGGCGCAGAGUCUGCAUAGUCUGCAUCCCUGGACGCUGGAACUGGGGGCUGGGGUGCUGGAAUGACUGCUGAGCGGGGCGCUGGAAUGACUGCUACCUAAAAUUCCCACUUGGACCCCCUGCGCGGAGCGGUGUCCCUUGCUGUGGAGCAAAGCGAGGGCGUGUGUUGCUUCUUGAUGUCGACUGGGAGUCAAAUUUCCUAUUCAUCUCCCCGAGCUCAUUCCUCUUGUGCUCCAGGCCAAUUGCUUUGUCUAGCAUCUUUUGGAAGCUAGGGAAGGUGUGCGACAUCAGCUGGUAUUGGAGUAGUCCAAUCAAACCAUCCAAGAACAGCUCCUGCUUCUGCUCAUCAUCAACAACAUCCUCAGGUGCAUAGCGGGACAACUGGACAAACUUGUCCCUGUACUCAGCCACUGUCAUUUUACCCUGCUUAAGAGCAAGGAACUCCUUCUUUUUGAGCUUCAUUAAUCCAGAAGGAAUGUGGUGACUUCUGAAGCUAGUCCUGAAUUCCUCCCAGGUAAUGCCAUUAGCGUUGGCAUGGGUGGUGCUGUAAGCAUCCCACCAAUCUGCAGCUGGUCCUUCCAGGCAUCCUGAAGCAUACAGGACCUUCUCCCUGUCAGAACACUGGGUGAUAUUCAGCAUCUUCUCCACGGUUUUCAACCAGUCAUCAGCAUCUAACGGGUCUGGAGAAUGUGAGAACGUUGGGGGCUUGUGGCUCAUGAACUCCCUGUGCCUAUCCCUUGGCGGUGGCUGCUACUGGUUGUUGUUGUUGUUGUUCAGCUGAGCUUGUAAGGCUGCCACGGUGUUGGUCAGUCCGGCGAGAAGCUGAGUCUGGGCUGCUAGAAACUGCUCCAUCCCUGCAGGUGCUUGCUGAUUCUGUUGCGGAGCGGGGUUGGGGUUGCUGUUGUUGUCCCUGUGAUGAGGCACUGCGGGACGGUCAACUCUUGAUCCGGAUCUGGUAUUUACCAUCUGAGCGUUAGAGACAAUAGAUUUAGAUAGGUGUGUGAAGGAAUAACUGAGAAAGAUAAAGCGACAAGAUAUAAAAGUAAAACAGAUUCUGUUAGCUCCGUUUAAUUAGGUGUGGCCGUCAGAAGAAGUGUCCAUAAUUACUGAAAAAUUACCAAGUCGUAACUUAUUAAAUUUGUAAACCAACCCAACUAGAAUCACCUCAAUUGGACUUCUAGAUCUCGGGUUACAAAAUUAACAAGCUGACAGUGUCGGUCGACAGUUUCAGAUUCUGAUUGCUCUACUAAUUCGCAUACAUCUCCCAGAAAGAUCCUCCAAAAAUUCUGAAAAAUUUACAAAAAAUACUCCACGCAAUUCUGAAACUAACCCCACUGAUUUCAUGUCAUUUGGACCCCAACAUCUUUACCCACAAGUCGUGUAAAAGUUUAAAAGAACUUUGGACCCAACCAUGCGGUGUUUGCAAGGCACCAUACCACACUUCCGAGGUGUGAUUGCAUAGGGACUCUACGAGGCCUUUACAAAGAUUCAUUAGUCAGUGGUAACCCGCUAAGGUUUCGGUGUCUGGCGUGCACAACCCAUCCCAGGCAAAAAUGCAACGACUCAGUCCCCCCUCUUGCCUCAUCACGAGUAAGGUCACCCCAGACUAAGGUUUCUAAUUAUUCAGCCAAGACCAGAGCCAUUUAGUCUUGUGGUAGCACUGUUUUCCUGGGUGGUUCUCCAUGUUCCGAUUAAACAGUAAUAAUCUUAUAUUAAUGAAAGGUACAACAGAAGUAAAGCAAGAUUAAACAUUGUGUUUAGUUAAACCACCAUACCAAGUAAGCACUAAGCAUGAACUACCCAACAUAAAGUAAACCGGUUGGUCAAGGCAAAGGUAAAUCAAUCUAGGCGAACCUUAAUUGGGACCCAUCAAUUUAAUCUUAACAUGUGCAUAGCAUAAAUGUUGAGUACGAGAAAGUAAAGGUGUAUAGGAAGAAAAGUAGUGAUCAAGGACACGACUUGCCUUCUUGGCCUUGCUCCUGCUGUUCAUACUCCUCGAAGCCUUGAUCUUCAACUCCCUCGAACUGCGGGACGUCUACACGCGUCACACGAGCACAUACAAGCAAACAUGGGCAAAAAGUAAGAAAACAGUACACCAAUCAUAGUUAAACAGAGAAAACCAGCUUGAAAAGUUGAUCUACGCUUUAAAACGAACACGUGGAUAUAAAGAACGUGAAAAACGGAGUUAAGAUGCAAAAGAUAUGUUUAAAACAAGAUCCAGGGGCUUUUCUGUGAGAAAAAUAAAACUUUUAGGGCCAAACCGCGAAAACCGAGGGCUUAUACAUAAUUAUGCGUAUAAACCGAAGGUCUAACGUGCAAAAACUCAAAUCCGGACGGCAGGUUGAUUUUUGGAAAGUUCAAGGGUUAAACCGAAAAGUGCGAGGGCAGAUAUGUAAAUAUUUUUCAACGCGAUCUGGACCGCGGGUUGAUUUGCGAAAAAGGCGGGGGCUUAAGAGCAAAAAGGCACAGCGCGGCACAGUUGACCGUUACGCGGUCUUGUUUGACUCGCUAUCGACAGUCGGAUCGAGAUCGGAUGGCCACGGUCAACGAUGACUCGCGGUGGCGGCGGAAAAGGGGCAGCCGGCGACGGCGAGCGGCGGCGGGCGACGACGAGCGGCGGCGGGGUUGUCGGAGUUGACCGAAAAGGCGCUCUGGGGCACGGUUUGGCGCGCGGAUUGCACCAGAAGGAAGAAGGGAACACGGCAAACCCGUUUAGGGGGUCCUCGGUGACCGGGGCUCACCGGAGGCGAUGCUUGACGGCGGGGAAGAGGCGGCGGCGCUAGAGCUUUGGGGCGCUAGGGUUUCGGGCGUAGGCGCGGGGUGCUCGAGGCUGGGGAGGGGCGGCGGCUUUUAUAGGGGCGGAGGGCUUAGAGAUAGAGGCGGCCUCGGGUUUGAAUCACGGCGGAUUCGGAGCGGGGGCCGACGGGAUUCCAGAGAUGGCGGCGCGGCGGUUGCGGGGAGUCCCGGCCGGAUACGGCCGGAGGUAGGCGAUGACGAGCGGGUCCUACCCGCCAGUGGCCGGGGACGAUAGGCGGGCUGGAGCGGCUACGUGGGCCGGCGCGCGCUCGCGGGCUGCGGAGGAAUCGGCGAGCGGGCGAGCUGCUCGGGUGAAGGGAGCUAGGCCGGCGAGAAGGGGAAAUGGAGUGGGCCGAGCGGCUGGCGCUGGGCUGCCGGCAGAGGAGAGGCGCUGGGCCAGCCAAGGGUGGAGCGGCCGGAGGAGCUGCAGCUCGGCUGGGCCAAAAGAAGAAAGGGGAAGGGAAGGAAGAGAAGAUUGCGGCCCAGGAGGAGAAGAAGAAAAAGAAAAAGAAAGAGAAAUGGAAAAAGGUUUUGGAAAUUGAAUUUAAACUUGAAAUUCAAAUUUUUGGUUCAAACUCCAACAAUUAAAAAUUAUGCUCCAACAUGAAUGCACAAUUAACUCCUAUAAUGAAUUUAAUUAAAUUAAAGAAAAUGAAUUUAAAUGCCUAGAAUUUAAAUGACACCCUAAUUUGAGCAAAAUUUUAAUGAAUUUGAAUUAUUCAAAAAUUUGGGUGUUACAACAAGGCCCAUGGAUACGGUUGGGCCAGGCGUGCAUCAACCCUAAGGGUGUGUUUGUUGCACCAAUCCCACUUCCGGUACGGAGGGUACCCGUCCAGGGCUGCCACGUCUGUCCUAAGUACGGAAACCCUCGUACCACAGAAAGCGAAGACACAAGAUCAGAGUGCCCCAAAAAGGGGUGCCACGGGUAGGAGGGGCCGUAUCGCGGGUAGAUGGGUCUUCAACCCAAAAAGUUCAUUUUCCCAAGGCUAUAAAUGGACGAGCCCUUAGCUCAUUUAAGACACAACAUUCUAGCUACUCAGUCACCUAGAAGCUCUUUGGAUAAGUGUUCUAUCCUAGAGCCGCCCUGUACUAUUUGGACAUUUUGUAACCACCAACAAUUGGCGUCCUCAUCGCCUUCCUCUAGGAGAAUAAGGAUGUGUUCGCCUGGACCCCCUCCGAUCUUUGAGGCAUCGGCCGGAGUCUCAUAGAGUACCACCUAAACGUUGACCUGAAGAAGAAGCCCCACAAAUAGAAGGUGCGGAAGAUGUCGAUGGAGCGGAAGGAGGCGGCACGCGUGGAGGUGCGCAAUCUACUUGACGCGAACGUGAUUCGGGAAGUCAUCCACAAGGAAUGGCUUGCCAACCUAGUUCUGGUGAAGAAGAACAACGACAAAUGGUGAAUGUGCAUGGACUUCACCGACCUCAACAAAGCGUGCCCGAAGGAUGAUUUUCCACUAUCUCGCAUCAACUAGAUCGUGGACUCCACCUCCGGAAGUGAGAGGCUUAGCUUCCUAGAUGCCUACUCCGAUUACCAUCAGGUGUGGAUGGUGGAAGACGACGAGCCUCGGACCAUCUUCAUCACCCUGUUAGGGACAUAUUGUUUCAUGCGGAUGCCUUUCAGUCUCUGAAACGCCGGAGCAACCUUCAUGCGCCUGGUGCAGCUGAUGUUCGACACCCAGUUGAGAAGGAAUUCGGAGGCCUACGUUGAUGACAUCAUCGUCAAAAGCAAGAAUGAGCAAGACUACCUCUCCAAUCUGUAGGAGACCUUCACCAACCUACAGAGGACGGGCCUUUGACUCAAACCUGAGAAGUGCACAUUCAGGGUGCACUCCGGAAAGCUGCUGGGCUACCUCAUCUCCCAGGGGGGGAUCGAAGCCAACCCCGAUAAGAUUCAAGCCAUUCAGGAGAUGGCGCCCCUGAAUAAUGUGCAAGAAGCACAACGCCUCAUGGGACGGCUCGUGGCCCUGAGCCAUUUCAUCGGAAGGUAAGCAGAGAGGAGCCUCCCCUUCUUUAAGGUGCUGAGAGGCUCCCAUUCGGGAGAUGGCGCCCCUGAAUAAUGUGCAAGAAGCACAACGCCUCAUGGGACGGCUCGUGGCCCUGAGCCAUUUCAUCGGAAGGUAAGCAGAGAGGAGCCUCCCCUUCUUUAAGGUGCUGAGAGGCUCUGACCCUUUUCGCUAGACGGAGGAGCAGUAGCAUGCCUUCCAUGAGCUCAAGCUAUACCUGGAACAUCCGAAGGUGCUCACGAGUCCUACCCUAGGGACCCUGCUCCCUUCUCUACAUCGCCACGGCAGAAGGUGCCGUUAGCGCCGUCCUGGUGGAGGAAGUCUCCUACAAUAGGAGGGAGGAACAGGCCCCGGUGUACUACGUCUCCGAGGCGCUCGCGGGGGGCAAACUGCGCUACACUGAGCUGGAAAAGAUGGCAUGCGCGGUCAUCAUGGCUUCCCGAAAGCUCAAGCACUACUUCACCGUCCACCCCAUUACGAUCCCGACAUCAUACCCCCUGCGUGAAGUCUUCUAAAGUAAGGAAGCCAUUGGGCGCAUCAGUAAGUGGGCAGCAGAGGUAGCCCCAUUCACGCUCUCUUUCAUUUCCCGAAGCGGCAUCAAGUUGCAAGCCCUCGCGGACUUCAUCGCUAACUGGAUGCCGACGACCCCGGCUGGCGGUCCCCCGUGAUGGAGCUAGUCUGGAUAGGUCUCGUCGAUGGAGCAUGGGGUGCCUCCAAAGCGGGAGCCGCAGCAGUUCUAUCCUCUCCGACAUGGUAGGAAAUUUGCUACGCCCUCCGCCUUGAUUUUCCCUGCACCAACAACAUGUUGGAGUACAAGGCCCUCAUUCUUGCCCUGUAGAAGGCGGCCACCCUCGGAGCCUGACGCCUCCGCGUCAAGAGAGACUCCCAGGUCAUCACGCUCCAAGUGGAGAAGGAAUACUAGGCUCGGGAACCUGAGCUUGUGGAAUACCUCCGUCUAGUUUGGAACCUGGAGCGAAAGUUCCAAGGCUUGACGGUGACGUACAUCCCCUGGGUGGAGAACGAGCUCGCUAAUGCCUUGGCAAAGGCGGCGGCCCAAGGCCCCUACUUCCUCCGGAGGUGUUCUAUCAUGUCGCCACCUCUCCGACGAUCAGGAUGGAGGAUACUGGUGAGCUCAAGGAAGUGGCGGCUAUUCACAAUGAGGACUAGCGCUCCUCCAUCAUAGCGUUCUUGGAGCAGUGGUAUGUCCCCGAAGAUCACACGGAGAUGCGCCACCUGCAACAAUGGUGCGCAACUACUAGCUAAUUGUUGGGGCCCUCUAUAAGGUCAACGUCUAUGCCCCCCUUUCUUCGAUCCAUCCCUAGGGAGAAGGGGUGCCAAAUGCUUGAACAAAUGCAUUCUAAGACGUUUGGAGCGCAUUCGGCAACCAGAUGCCUCAUCGGAAGGGUAUUCCAAUAGGGUUUCUAUUGGCCCAUGGCACUCCGCGACACCGAGGAAAUAGUCAAGUGGUGUGACAGCUGCCAAAGAAUGAGCAAGAUGAGCCGCCUUCCAGCCACUCAGCUCCAGCCGUUAGCUCCUGUUUGGCCAUUGGCCCGAUGGGGCAUUGACAUCAUCGGGCCGAUCCCUAUGGCCCUGGGGGGCUUCUGCUUCGCGGUGGUGUCCCUCAAGUACUUCUCCAAGUGGGUGGAGGCAGAGCCUAUCACUGCAAUCAAGUCCGCCAACAUCGUUAAAUUCUUUUGGAUGAACAUCGUGUGUCAUUUCGGCGUUUCCCGGGAGGUCACUGUUAGCAGUUCGACUCCGAGCGCUUCCAUCAAUAUUGUGAGGAGUUAGGCACUAAGGUUUAUUUUGCCUUAGUGUAUCACUUGUAGUCCAACGGGGCAUGUGAACGGGCCAACGAAAGCAUCUUUGAGGUGUUGAGCAAGCGCAUCUUCGGGAACCCAAGGGGAUGAGGGCUAACGAGCUCCCGAGUAUCUUAUGGGCUUACCGCACUUCCGCAAUGCGACCCACCGGUUUCACCCCUUUCUAGCUCCUAUUCGGAGAAGAAGCCAUGGCCCUAGAGGAAGCAUCCCGCAACACCUUCCGAGUCUCCAAGGAGCUCAUGGAGGAAACAAGAAUUUAGGCCACAACCAACCUUGAGAAGUACCAAGCGGAGACAAAGACCUGGCAUGAUAAGAAGACGCGGGAUUGAGCCUUUGCGGUAAGGAACCUAGUGCUACGCCACCGCAGGAACUCCGAGACCCUAGGCAAGUUUGAGAGAAAGUGGGAAGGGCCCUACAUCGUCACCAUGAGCAACCGUCUAAUCUCCCCAGACGACAAAGAAGAUCCACACUUGUGGAAUGCCAACCUCCUCUUUCGGUACUAUCCAUAGGGGGUCCCACGGCGGUGGCAUCAUGGGAGGACCAUGACGUUUGGAGCUUUUUUUCUAUUUUUUCCUCAAUUUUUUCUCUUCAUUAUGUCUCUUUUUGACCUUUUUGCCCCAGCGAGGCUGCAUGGGUAGCACAACAUGUCCCGUCGUCUAGCUGCUAGCAACAUCUUUUGGCUCACUGCUAGGUUGCCGGGAGCCACCAACACCUACCAACUCCAGUGUGCCGAUCCCAAGCAUCAAGAAUACUUCCUUCGGCUCAUCCUCGCCGUUCCUCUCUAGAAGCGAUAUCGCACCUCAUUUUUUCCGGACGGGAUGCUUUCUAACGACUCGCAUGGAGCGGCUAAGGGCCGAGACCCUCAAGCGCUAGCAUAGCACCGCACGCUCGCUCAUUUUUUCUAGAAGGGAUGCUUUCUGAUGAGUCACACGGAGCGACUAAUGGCUGAGGCCCUCGAGCACCGGUGUAGCACUGCAUGCCCGCUUGUUUUCUGGAAGCGAUGCUUUUCAACGAGUCGCACAGAUUGGCUAAGGGUUGAGGCCCUCGAGCGCCAGUGUAGCACUGCAUGCCCGCUCAUUUUCCGGAAGUGAUGCUUUCCGAUGAGUCGCACGGAGCGGGUAAGGGCUGAGGCCCUCGAGCGCCAGCGUAGCACUGCACGCCUGCUCAUUUUUCGGAAGCAAUGCUUUCCAACAAGUUGCAUGGAGCAUUUAAGGGCUAAGGCCCUCGAGCGCCGGUGUAGCAUCGCACGCCCGCUAAUUUUUCACAAGCGAUGCUUUCUGAUGAGUCACAUGAAGCGGCUAAGGGCUGAGGCCCUUGAGCACCAGCGUAGCGCUACAUGCAUGCUCAUUUUUCGGAAGCGAUGCUUUCCGACGAGUUGCAUGGAGCGGCUAAGGUCAACGAGUUGCACGGAGCGGCUAAGGGCUGAGGUCCUCGAGAGCUAGCGUAGCACCACUUGCCCGCUCAUUUUUCUGGAAACGAUGCUUUCCGACAUGUUGCACGGAGUGGCUAAGGGCUAAGGCCCUCAAGCACCAGUGUAGCACUGCACAGCCACUUGUUUUCUGGAAGUGAUGCUUUUCGACGAGUCGCACGGAGUGACUAAGGGCUAAGGCCCUCGAGCGCUGACGUAGCAACACACGCUCACUUGUUUUCCGAAAGUGAUGCUUUUCGAUAGGUCGCACGGAGUGGCUAAGGGCUGAGGCCCUCGAGUGCCGGCGUAGCACCGCACGCCCGCUCAUUUUUUGGAAGCGACGCUUUCUGACGAGUCGCAUGGUACGGCUAAGGGCUGAGGCCCUUGAGCACUGGCAUAGCACCGCACGCCACUCGUUUUGUGGAAGCGAUGUUUUCUAACAAGUCGUAUGAAGCGGCUAAGGGCUGAGGCCCUCAAGUGUCGGCGUAGCACCGUAUGCCCGCUAGUUUUUUUCGGAAGUGAUGCUUUUUGACGAGUCGCACGGAGCGGCCAAGGGCCAAGGCCCUCGAGCACCAGUGUAGCACCGCACGCCCUCUUGUUUUCCGGAAGCGAUGCUUUUCGACGAGUCGCAUGGAGCGGCUAAGGGCUGAGGCCCUCGAGCGCCGGCGUAGCACCGCACGCCCGCUCAUUUUCGGGAAGAGAUGCUUUCCGACGAGUUGCACAGAGCGGGUAAGGGCUGAGGCCCUCGAGCGCUGGUGUAGCACCGCACGCUUGCUCAUUUUCUGUAAGCGAUGCUUUCCGACGAGUUGCACAGAGAGUUUAAGGGCUGAGGCCCUCGAGUGCCGGUGUAGCAUCGCAGGCUCGCUCGUUUUCUGGAAGCAAUGCUUUCCGACAAGUUGCACAGAGCAGCUAAGGGCUGUGUCCCUUGAGCACCGGCGUAGCACCACACGCUCGCUCGUUUUCCAGAAGCGAUGCUUUCCGAUGAGUCACACGGAGCAGCGAAGGGCUGAGGUCCUUGAGUGCCGGCAUAGCACUGCUUGCUCGCUCAUUUUUUGGGAAGCGUUGCUUUCCGAUGUGUCGCACAAAGAGGCUAAGGGCUAAGGCCCUCGAGCGCCAGUGUAGCACCGCGCGCUCACUCAUUUUUCGGAAGCGAUGCUUUUCGAUGAGUCGCACUGAGCAGCUAAAGGCUGAGGUCCUCGAGCACCGGUGUAGCACUGCGCUACCGCACGCUAGUUUCGAUCGAAAGCGAUGCCUUUUGGUGAAACGAGAUCCUUGUCCAGUUGAAGGUGCUACCCUCUCGGAAAGAAAAGGAAACAAUAACCAACCACGAGCGCACAAAGCCACCACUUUGGGGUGAAUUUUCAAAUUAAUAGCCAGAUGUUUACAGAUUACGAGUCGUGGCACGAACAAAAAUCACCUAACCUAGAUCUCUGCAGUUCAGGUAGUCUAAGAAGCUGCGUCGAGCGUGGCCACAAGUGCAUGCACCCGAACAUGGCCCAGACCGGCCUUGGGGAGGAUGACGGCAGACCGUCCGACGCAUUGAUGCUGUAGAAGACUCGCCGAUUAGAACAUUCGGCCCAAGAUCCACGAAAAAGGCGGCCCAAGCAGCCCUCUGGGAAGCAGCGGCAUCAACGGCUUCCGAGGAUGCUCCACUACCUAGGAUUUCUUCUGCAGCUUGGCGUCUCACAAAUGCAGCGUCUAAUUCCACCUGAGGAUUGCUCUCGGAAAGAUCCUGCUCUGACCAGUCGAUACCGCAAGAUGAUGAAAAUGAUGACCCGAGUGCCUCCUAAUUACCCAUCUCCUCUACGGGAAAACGACCACUUCGGGGCCCCUCUGAAAUGAAGGAAUCAUACCCGGCCUAGACAGGAACAACAGUGGUAAGCUAACCAUUGUACUGUUAGGAUAUGAGGUAGGCUACACUAGCGCAAAUCAAAAUUUUCUACCGCCUAAACCGGGAAAACUGCCGUAUAAGGAUCACGGGAUUACCACUCGACGCACUGAUGCAGAAGAUGUAGAUUCGCAUCGAUGCAGCAAAGUCGAUCAGCAUAGUCAUACAUAGUCUAUCACGUCGACAUCCAGCAGCUCCUCAACAGCUCAUCCACGUGCAGCAAGAUCGCCCUCGUGCUGCGGCUCAUCGUCGGCUCGUCGUGGCUCGUCGGCGGCUCGUCGUGGCUCGUCGUAGCUCGUCGGUGGCUCGUCCAAGUGCUGCAGGCGCAACACCUCGAAGGUAUCCACACGUGCAGGGAGGAAGCGUCGCAAGCUGAACUGCUAGGUCCGCGAGUUGCAAUAGGCGAGGGCGUGGGAGGCGCAGCAGAUGUGUUUCGCCAAAAAGGUGUAAACCCUAGGGUGCCCCCACCCCUCUAUUUAUAGAGGUUCCUAAUAAGCCUCUAGGUCCGAGGCCCAUUAGUACUUCUAAACCUAAUCCAACUCGGAUCACAUCCGAAUUGGGCUUCCAGCCCCUUAAGUGUGUGACCCUAUGGGUUCAGAUACGUAUAGACAUGGCCCGAGUACUCCUACUCGGCCCAAUAGUCGGCAGCGGCCUCUAGCAAGACCUGCCAACUCCUAUACGCACACAAAGAUCAUAUUAGACGAACCAUCACAACAUUAUAUACAUGCUAUUCGCUUUGCCUCAUGAUAUUUGAUCUAGCUUCAAGCCGACCGCUCUUUCUCGAUCCUAUGAUUCGGAAUUCCUUUGUAGGUUAACUCUUAACCGUACGUAGCAUGGCCAUGCAUUUUCGGAUCCAAUCACUCGAGGGGCCUAGAGAUAUCACUCUCAAUCAGAGAGGAGCAAAUCCCAUCUUGAUUGAACAUGUCUCAUAGCAUGUUUCUUGACAAACCCGAAAGCUACCUUUAUAACUACCUUGUUACGGCGUAGCGUUUGAUAGCCUCUAAGUAAGUCGAUCCACAUCUUGAGUAUAUGCGACAAUCUCAGGUCUAAGGACAAAGCGUAUAUGUUGUGUAAAGAGAGAACUACUUCUCGUGUUGGGUCAGUCCUAGCACAUGUCUCCACAUGUGCCCACAUUAUUAGUUUAACAUCUCCAUGUCGAUGACUCGUGAAACAUAGUCAUCAACUAAUACAUGUGCUAGUCUAAUAUUCAUGUGUGUCCUCACAUGAACUCCGACUAGGGACAACUUUAGAAUAACCAUACAAGUAAAGAGUUUCAUAUACAAUUCACAUAAUUGCAAAGCAAAUCAAUUCAAGUAGCCUUUAAUGGAUAUUCAAGGAACACAAUAUAAAUCAUGGAUACAAAUGGAAUAUCAUCAUCUCUAUGAUUGCCUCUAGGGCAUACCUCCAACAUGUACAAGGGCAAUUUACAUUUUUUCAGCUCCCUCCCGGCUCUAAGGGAGGGGGAGGAGUGGGGGGACACACCCCCACUCUGGGCUCCAUGCUGAAACACAACAUAGACCCGGAAGAGAGCCGGGGAGUUUUUGCAAGGUGGAAAAUAUACAUAGCUAUUUUUUAUUGAUCAUAGUAAGAAGGGAAAAGAAUUACACCUCCCGAUCGGUAGAAUCCUAGGUGGAAAAACCCUCCCCUCUUAACGAAGGGGACGAGGGGCCUCGUCGGGGGCCCUACUAUUAGACGCACCCAAUUUAGUUUCUCCUACUAGAGAAGCCGCAGAAAUGGAUCCAGAAGAAUCUAGGCCCCCCGAAUGAGGGGAUAAGCAUGGAAGCUAGUCAGGCUUUAACUGGUCCAAAAGGUGGCCGCAUUCUUCGACAAAUUCGGAAAAAUCUUCUUUGAGGUGAUGCUAACAAUCGGGUUGGAACGGCUGCCUCUCCAACCACUCCGACUAGUCCUGCAAGAAGGAGCCCGUAACCAACACUCCGUGAUGAAGGAAAGCCUUCGGGAAAACUUCCAAAAUGGCUGCGGCCCGAAUGUCCGGACGAUCGGGGAAUCCUUUCUUGGAGCGUGGUUUUUCUCAGGGGGAUGGUUGGAAACUUCUGACAAUGCCUUGGUGGCUGGACAAAACAAACUAAAGAAGAAUAAUAGUAAGGAAAACGCCAACUUUCUUUCAUUCAUUAGCCCUGAAAGUGUGUCGGGCCGGAGGGCUGGGUUACAUUCUGAUAAUUUUUUACAAGGCGGGAGCCCACACAAAAGCUAAGUGAAACCAUCAAAAGAAGCCUAGGACAACAAAAACUAACACCCGGUGGGAGCCUCGGGCGCCAAGGGGCUGGCUAGCGAAGAGUUCAAACUUGGGGAUUGCUCCGAAGGUCCUUAUUACCUACAGGGACCUCAGAUCGGCCAGGGUCACCCCCACGUCAGCCAUGGAAAUGGCUUGGGCCUAUGUAACAACUAGGACAUAGGCUAGUUCGCUCCCGCGGCUCAGCCAGUACUCCCUGAGGGCCUUUGAUAGGGAGUUCACAGCCCGAACCUGCUCGAGGAAGGCCGCAGCGUCAUCAGGCAGGUCCUGGAUCCUCUCCUUCACGGCUCAGAGAUAGUCGCAUCCAGCUUUGUGAAUUGCUAGGAGGGCCACCCGCCAAGAGAUCUGCGCACAAAAAAUUGACAAAACUGGUGGCUCUAGGAACGAUGCUCUUGAUUCCACAGCAGAGCCAGCCGAUGCUCUCCACGAGGUCACCCCGGUCAUGUGACCGAGGAUCGACGUCGACAACGAUCAAGGGAAGAGCCUUGCUCAUCUCCUUCACAGCGGACCAGGCCCCAAGUGUCCCUUGGCAGAGCUGCUCCGAGAUCGCAUUGCUCUCUGGUCCGCCUCCUCCCACAUGGACUUCUUUGCGGCCAAGUCGUGGAGGGCCACAGCUUGGGCUACCUCAGCCAACGAAGCCUUCUCCGUGGCCUCUUUUUUCGCCUUAUGGGCCUUUGCUAGUGCCGCCUUGAUAAGUACCCGCUAGGGUUGAUUCCCAAUCUUUCGAUGUGAGGGCAUGGGAUAACUUGAUUGGUGGAUGGAGAUGACGUUCCUGGCCUAACUACAGUCUUUCAAGAACGCUGUGCCUUAGCAAUCGAUACACCACCUCCAAUGGUCAUUGCGAUCUUGUGGAGUGCGUCACCCGACCUCUAGGGCACUCCUCCUGCAAGCAAUUGAAGAACUAGCAAGAACAAGUAUAACAAGUACUGAAUUUACUAGAUGAAGAUGAAGGUUUCAAACUCAAUCUCAAUAAUGAUGGGGUUCCGAAGACAAGAAGACGGGUGGCUGAUCCAGCACGCGUGCUUACAAGCAAGUUGCAAAAGCUAAAAUUAAUCUAAACAAACCUCCAAUCUGUUUGUGGCCGCUCUAAUUCUUAUUAAUACCUAGGAGGACGACCAAGGGGCCUGGUCGUCCAGGUGUCAUGCUCCAACCCUAGGACACGUCCUUAUUGGACCUGACUUGAUACAAGGCCCAUCGGGCCAAAAUAAGGCGACACUGCACCUUUGACAAAAAAACCUUUUGGUAGUAAUUUGAUCAUUGCGACUGCCUCAGAAAAGAUAUGGAUAUGAGUCUAGAUCCAUAUGAAAAUAUAAUUCAUAAGGAUUCUAAGGAGUACUUGAAUGCCCAAAACGGAGUCUGGAUAAGGUCGUGGAGGCCGUCGCAAGUUGGCACAGUGUUGCAGUCCGAAUCCAGCCCCAAAAAGUGUUGAAUUUAAUCUUUUUCUUUCCUUGGGCCAAAAUUGACGUGGUGGCCUAGUGGAGGACGUUGGGAAUACUUGGACUUAGUCCCCAAUAAAUUUUUUGGUCCUCCAUGCCUUCCAUGUAUGUUUAACACUAUUUUUGAUCCACGAAUGUAUUUCUAAAAAUGACAAUGAACACACAUCAUGGUCCAGCAUCAAUUCAUCAAAUGUAUCAAAUACAAUCAUGACAAAGAAGUGUUUCACCUUUGAAUCAAAAUUUGCUAAUAUGGCUGUAUCCAAAUAGGUGAUAUCCUCAUCAUUCUCCCCUUCUUGGUUGCAAAUCGUCCUUGACUUGCUCCAAUGGCAUUCAAAGGUGCUUGCUUUGAUGUUGGAGCACGGAACGACAGCUAUAUUGCACGGCCACAACCAGCAAUGCUCCCCUUCUUUAGGCUUACCUUGUUGCAUAUGGAAAAAACUAGGAAAACUUUGCAAGACAUUAUUAGUGUUAGUGCAGCCACCUAUUUGAUCAUGGUAUUGUAGCUGUAACGACCGACCCCUAAGCCUUUCCAGUUAGUCUUGAUCGCAGCCCUUAACCUUAGUCAGCUGUCUUGUUUGACCGCACCUAAGUGCUCAGUUUUCCGCCAGGUCCCGACCCCUGGAUCCGACCCCUUGCCGCUUUGCUCCUCUUCCGACCCCGGCGAGCUCAGCCCACCGUCGGAUCCUGCUGAUCUUCCUCACCCGUCCGAUCUAUCCACCGGUGGACCCGUGCGAUCUUUUCCAGAUCCUCCGCGACAGCCGCACUCGAGUCGCAUGGCCACCUCAGAGUCUUCCUGCCGCGUGGCUCGUCUUCUCCGACGCGGCCGCUCAGUUUUGUCCCUGGCAAGCAACAGAGUGGGUUCCCGCGCCCCUUUUCCCCAAUGGCAGCGGAAGCCCUCUGCACCCCUUUCUGCAGAGCCUCGCCUCCCACGCCCAUCAUCACGCCACCAGAUCCCGACCCCAGAGCCCGAUGUCGCCCGUCUUUUCCGUCCCUUCAGCCACAGUUGCGCCGCCCGGUCGUCGCUACACGACGAUUCCUCCACCGCCAACCCUGACCGCGGCCGCGACAGUUCCUUUCCCCGCUCUGUCAGAAGCUGCCCGACAAUCUGUUGUUCCGCGCUCUCCCCCGCGCCCGCGUCCGCCUGUCUUCUCACCUGUGCGCCCUUGAUUCUAACGCCGUUAAACCGGUCGCUUCUAUCACCUCUUCCGUACGACGAUGCCCGCUUUCCGCCAAACCUCAACCACCAGUCUACCCGCUCCUACGCCGCCCUGACGGCAGAACGCAAUGAUCGCUGGCGUCACCCCCGGAGUUCUGCAGCACCGCCCUCCUUGCUCAAUCACCGCCACGGCAGAGCACUCCAUUGCUUCUCCCCGGCCUUCGCGCCGCUCCCCUUCUCUCUCUCCGCGCCGUUUCCUUUUCCCUGCUCCAGCAGCUAUAAAAGGAAUGCCCCCGUCGCCGGAGUUCCCUCCGCCUUUGUUGCCUUCAGCUUUCUCUAGCUCCCUGCUCAAGCUCCUAGUGCCACCCACCCAGUUCUUGAGAAGUUCUUCUCCCAGUUCCCUCUCAGUUCCUCCAAGUCACCCAGCAGCUUGCUCCUCCGUGCUGCGUAAGAGCUCUCUUGUGAUCCGCAAGAAGUAGCGCCGCCGCCGGAGCAUUGCCAGUCGUAGCCCUUGCUCGAAGCUUUAGUCCCUCCGCCCAAGUUCGCUUCUUCCCGACCCCAAGCUUUCCUUUCAGGAAGAAGGUGAGUUGCCGACCCUAGUCCGCCUCGCCCGACCCCUCCUAUCCGCCCGACCCCAGUUCCGUCUCGCCCGACCCUGUCUGUUCCGCUGACCCUUAUCCGCCUCGCCCGAGGGCUUGGCUGUGAUCUUUUUCUUCAACUCAAGGGUGUAUGUGUAAAACCUGGGAACCCUUCAGCGCUUGCGUCUAAGGAUCCCAGUUAUCACAUCCUCUAGUUCAAGGAUCAGACCACUAGUUCCUUUCCUACCCUUACCUCUUGAUCAUCAUCAGCUCUCUCGAACCACCAUAACCUCCUACUCUUUGUCGCAAGUUUCUGGGCUCAGGCGAGCCAGUGUUGCUGUUGAAAUAACUGUCUAAGCUAACCCUUGCAUUGCAUUCGUGUAGAGCUGCACCUCGCCGACGGUUUCUACGAGCUUCACCCGGCGCCAGAAGAAGAAGCUGUAGCCGAGCUCCUGUCCUCCGAAGCCGAAGUCGCCCCCGAAGCCGAACAGUUCCCGUCCUCCUUGCUUGAAGGCAAGCCCCGGUUGCAUGAGAAUCCUACGUGUUUUGCCAAACUUGCGCAUGCCUUCCGUAUAGCAUGCUUGUGCAUUUACGUAUAGGAGUAGUGUGAAACCCUAGAUGCAUGACUCAGGUAACCCAUGAUCUGAGCACUAGCUGUUGGACCGAGUAGCUGCAUUGCUUAACUAGGAGACGGUAAAAGUCGAGUGAUUUCCUGUCACUCGCGAGUUGUAGGAGUUGCAUGAUUUACUCUCCUGUUAUAACUAUAAGGACGAUGGACGGGGCAGGGUUUUGGUAACUUUUUGGUGGUCGGAUGGUCACCCCGUCUGUCUAUGAAAUCUUGCUAAGGCCCAACAGCGGUGGUGUUCGUGAUCAAGUGUUUGAAAGUACUAGCCUCAUACUUAGUAUGGGAUGAGGAAGCCUAGUACCGGAUUGAACCUAGACGUGAGCGGUCGCCCCAUUAUUCUUGGAACGGAGUUUCCCCUGCUGGUUGUUGCACGUGGUGGCAAGCGUGGUCACAAGACGGCAGAGGCCGAGUCUGUGGAACCUUGCACCAAAGGAAAUGGGCCCGACACGGUUUAGGGGAUUGAUGGGGAAGGCCGACACAGGAAGCGACCUCCGGGUGCGCGGAUGUCGUGAGGCUAGGUUCACCAUGCAUGGUUAAGGAACUCGAAUCGAUUCGUCUGCCUCUCACAGCUUGAGAUUGCUUGAUCGCUAUGUCACCCUGAGUAAAUGAGGAAUCUGAUGAUGGCAAUGUUUGUUGUUAUAUCUACACAUCUUGUUUGGUUCUAUGAAUGCUUAGAAUAGGUGGCACAACCUAGACUGCUAAAUGAACCUAGAACCGGAGCUAAAACUUGAAAUAGGGUUACUUAGUGCUUUUGGCCAACAAACCCCUCAGCCAAGAAGCCUUGCAUGUCUAGAAGGAGGAGUAGUCCUUACUCCUAUCGGUUAAGUCUUGUUGAGCUUAGUAGCUCAGCCUUGUUGUGGCUUCUGUUUUUCAGGUGAAGUUGCUGCGUCCGACCCCUCUCUGGUUGGUGCUUGGCCGCCCCAGCUCCCGCCAGGCUGGACGGUCGAGUGGGACCCCUUCUCGGAUGGCGAGGGGAGGACUCAGUGAUGUUCUGGCUGGCCUCGCCCGGACAUCCGACCCCGACGAAGUCUUCCGCUAGUGUUUUCUCUGUUGUUCUUUUGAAUUUUGUAAAACUCUGAUGUUGGAUUUUAUGGUUGAACUAAAAUGGGUAAAACUUGUUUAACUCAGUGGACUUGUUGUAUUCUCUGUAACCACUCACCUUCGUGUGGGUUUGCUAAACUCGAUCCUGUUUAAGUGGUUAAAUCGGAUGAAAUCCGACGGCACUUCGUGUUAGCUCGGUUUAGGCAGGAGUGUCGCAUGUUAGGCGGCUUAACCCUGCUUAAUCAAGCUAAUCCGAGGUGGUUCCGCCACAGUAGCCCAAAAGGAUAUUUCAGAUUAAAGCAAAUAUAAACUUUAUGCACAAAAUAUUCUCCUUUGCUGUCAUAUUUGCCAAUUGCAUGAAGCAAACAAUGAUUAAAACUUGGCAAACCAAAAUCAAAUUUAAGUCUCUCUUGUAGACAAUUUAGAUUACACAGAAUAUCAAAUUCAAUAUAACCCAAAGUAUUUAAAGAGGAUAGCAAAUUCAGUUCAUCUUGUGCACAAGUAAUAGGAUGAAAAAGCUUAUCUUCAGCACAUUUGUAUGGUUCCAAACCAAAAGUAUCACACUUAUUCGCUACUUGUGGUAUAGGAGUAAAAGAAUCAUCAGCACACAAGUCCUCUUUAUCACAAGGACAACAAGUAAAUCAUUUUGUGACAAUGGAAAACCAGCAGUGGGUUCCACUAUUUGUUGCUCUUCAUUAGCAUGGAGUGUGAACAAAUUUUGGACAUAAUGGGUCACAUCAUUCUUACAAGUAUUCACAGAUAAUAGAAUCUCCUUUUGAGCAUUGAGAGCAAGACAAAACAAUUAACCAAUAUGGCUAUAAGAAUUGCUAAUUAACAAGGUUCGAAUUUCAGAAUUGAGCUCACUCAUGAACCUACUCAUAACAUCUUCCAUGCAUUCAUCUAAUCCACCAUACAUGAUAUAAAUUUUAAAAUCAUGGAAGUAUUCUUUCACAGUCCUACUACCUUGCUUCAAGUUGUCUAAUUUUGCAAGCAAAUAAUCAACAUAAUAUGCAGGAACAAAUGCAUCUCUAAAAAGAAAUUUGAAGUCUUCCCAAGAUUCUAGAACUUCUUGUUCCUACAAAUGUGUUUCCAUUCUAGUAAAGCAUAUUCACUCAAAAUAUUAGAGGCAAUAUAAAUCUUUUGUUUCUCGGAUAGGUCAUGCUCAUCAAAUUCAUUCUCUACUUUUAACUUCCAAUCAAUGUACGCUUUAGGAUCAAACUUACCAUCAUAUAACGGCAAGUGUUGAAUGACAUCCUGAAUAUGAGGGUCUAGUUUCAACAGCUCAAAAAUUUCUGUAUCAUCUGCCAUGAUUAGCAAAAAACAAGAAACAUAAAAAUAAUAUGUAUCCUCUUGUCAACUACUAGGAUGUGUCGGUUGUAAUUCUCUCAAACUUAACUUAUUUUAAAACAAGCCCUUACAACUUCUUACCAAGCCAAAUAGGAGGUGACGGCAACCAACAAGUCUGCAACCAUGGAGUGAAGUAUAUCAGUGCUGCAGCAACAAAAACCUAUCAAGUUGUAGUCAAAUAUGUGGAGCUGUCAGUUGGCUUAAGUAGGGGAAAAUACUAGCACCACGUUAGUCACAAAAGUAAGCUGAGUAAUCGUUCAACGGUGGUACUGUGCUGAUUCUAGGCAAGACCGUGCUAGAGAUGCGAGCCUGGACACAAAGGAGGUCAUGAAGCACCACCGAAAGAAAAGAGGAACAAAAGGAAUAGCCCCUGUUUUUUUUCUUUGUUUCUAUUUUUUUUCCUUUUUCUUUCCUAUUUUUUUCUUUCUUUCAUUUUCUUUAUUUUUUCACACAAUUGUAGUAGAAGCAACUAGCUUGGAAUUCAUGACAAGCUAAACCAAAUUGGAAUCUUGAUAGAUAUGAAAUCAACAAACAGCAGCAGCAACAGUGGAAGCGACAAAAACGUGAUGAGAACUCGAAACUCUAAAAGACUACACACUAAGACCAGCAACUCGACACAACCGAUUCAACUGAAGACUCAACAAGUUCUAACUAAGCAGCACUAGUAAAAGGCUCAAAGGGUCUUUAGGAUUAAGAAAAACUAAUCUAAUAAUUUUUUGGGUUUUUUUACUGUAGGAGGUUAAAGACAGCAAAGAACUGAAAGUCUCUCACCGAUCAACUUUGCCCUGAUACCAAUUGAUAAGUACCCGCUAGGGUUGAUUCCCGAUCUUUCGAUGAGAGGGCGUGGGAUAACUCGAUUGGUGGAUAGAGAUGACAUUCACGGCCAGACUACAGCCUUCCAAGAAUGCUGCACCUUCGCAACCGAUACACCACCUCCAAUGGUCGCUGCAAUCUUGUGGAGCGCGUCACCCAACCACUAGGUCACUCGUUCUGCAAGCAAUCGAAAAACUAGCAAGAACAAGUAUAACAAGUACUGAAUUUACUAGAUAAAGAUGAAGGUUUCAAACUGAAUCUCAAUAAUGAUGCGGUUCCGAAGACAAGAAGACGGGCAGCUGAUCUGGCACGCGUGCUUACAAGCAAGUAGCAAAACCUAAACUUAAUAUAAAUAAAACCCCCAAUCUGUUUAUGGUGGCUCUAAUCCUUACUAAUACCUAGGAGGACGACCAGGGGACCUAGUCAUCCUAGUGUCAUGCUCCAACCCUAGGACACAUCCUUAUUGGACCUGACUUGAUACAAGGCCAGUCGGGCCAAAAUAAGGCGACGCAGCACCGUUGAUAGAAAAAUCUCUUGGUAGUAAUUUGAUCAUUGCGACCGCCUCAGGAUAGAUAUGGACAUGAGUCUAGGUCCAUAUGAAUAUAGAAUUCAUAAGGAUUCCAAGGAGUACUUGAAUGCCUAAAAUAGAGUCGGGAUGAGGUCGUGGCGGCCAUCGCAAGUUGGCAAGUGCUACAGUCCGAAUCUAGCCCCAAAACAUGUUGGAUUUGAUUUCUUUCUUUCCUUGGGCCAAAAGUGACAUGGUGGCCGGGUGGAGGAUGUUGGGAAUACUUGAAAUUGACCCCCAAUCAACUUCUUUGGUCCUCUAUGCCUUCCUUGCGUGUUUAACACUGUAUUUAAUCCACGUAUGUAUUUCUGAAAAUGACAAUGAACACACAUCAUGGUGUAGCAUCAAUCCAUCAAAUGUAUCAAAUACAAUCAUGACAAAGAAUUAUUUCACUUUUGAAUCAAAUGUUGCUAAUAUGGUUGUAUCCGAGCAGGUGAUGUUCUCAUCACGCAUCCAACUUCUGCACGCGGGUCUCAGCGGCACUCUCACGGGAAGCGAAGGAGGCCGCGGAGGCCGCCUACGCCAAUACGGCCACCUGAAAGGAGUGUAUAUCCACAGUGGUAAGGAAAAGUGAGGGGACGAGCACUGAAGAGACAAGAGGCGGUGAAUGACCAUUCCUGCACGCCUAAGGCAGCUAGCACCUCGUGCACCUCCUCGGCCGGGAGAUCCCAGGUCAGUCCCUGGAAGGUGGGAAGCCAAAGCCCGAACACCAUGGAGACCAACCUCUUUCGGGGACCUGGGUGUCCCAUUAGGUCCUCCAGAAUGACCAGCCCUGCCCACAUUGAUGGAGCGCAGAACAGGCCCUUCCCCCGACCCGGGUGGGGGACCGAAACAUCUUUAGGAGCGGGGCUCCUUUCCUCUCCGUCAUCACCGCCUGUCUCCUUGCCGGAACAGAUCACCAUCUCCUCCUCCACGGCGGAUGGACCAGCGUCCCCUACAGGUGACAGUAAGAGCGCCCAUUGAGCCAUCCAUUAAGAAAGCAGAGACAACAUAGCCCGCAUUGGGGAAUCAAACAGCUUACAUAUCUCCUCCUCCUCGUCAUUGCUGAAGUCGGGGCAAAGCCCCGGGACUCAGAAUGAAGGAUGAGGCCCACAGGAGGUGGAGCCCGAUCCGCCCACGUGCGAUGCCAGUGGAGCAGAACGAGAGGAAGGGGGAGACGGAGUAGGGGGUCCAUCCUCACAGGUCUAGGAGAAGGAGUACCGCGGGAGGACUCCUUAGUGGGCGCCUCCUCAUCUCACCCCUCCUCUUCGCCUGCCACCUCCUCCGAGCGGCGAGAGGAAGGAGCUGCGCCCCCGGUCUGAUCACGCGACACCAUGCUCGCACCUCGACCAUGGCUCCUCUCCCCCUUCAGAGCCUUCUCUGGAGGUUGGGGCAUUCUGGAGUCGCCACGCCCCUAAUGGCGAGGAUCCGAUUCACUCGCGAGCCCAACACCAGCGAGGCCUAGGCGUUGUGCUCCAAAGGUAGGUAAGGGCCCAACAACUCUAUCGCCUUCUCCUCUACCUCUUGUAGAGUCAGGUCUGCAGGGAUCAGCACUUGGGGGUCAGCGGAGAGCUGUAGCAAGUCUCAGAGCACGAAAGAGUGGCACUCACUAGGAAGGGUCCACUUAAACCUCUUUUGGAAGUAAGAAUUCCCCUGCUGGUCCCGGCCCACUACGGUGGGAGUUUAGCCGUCGCCGACCGCCAGAAACUCCUAUCCGCCGGCCAAGGGCCAAAUCCCUGCUGUGAGAAAUUCCUCGGCAAGGUUCCGCAUCGCGAAACAUCUCGCAAUCCUCCCCACCAACGCGAUUUGAGUGCGGAGGCUGUCAUCCACGGUCAAGGAGGGAAGAGACACGGACUUCAGUUUCUGGCAGGUGGACCUAUUUCGGGAAGUGGAUGGGACCUCCUGGUAGAACCAUUGGGACAGCCAAGUGGUCUCCCGGUGGUCCUUGUACGCCUUGGCCAGGACUACAGCUUGGUCCUAGGGGUGGAAGAAGACCUGGCCAUGCACACCUCCUUAUUCAUGCCCUCGAAGAUGUGGAACUUCCGACAGACGGAGGUGGCAUGAAGGCGGGCGGAGGGGAUAGCGUCUUCUGCCUAGAUGCGCACUCGAAGGUGCUGAGAUGCACCAAGGAGUUGGGGAAGAUGUGCUGGAUCUUGAGUUUGUAGUAGGCCAGAACGGAGGAGAGGAAGUCCGAACACAGGAAAUGAAGCCCACACUCGUACUGCUUGACGAACACCACCACCUCGUUAGGCUUGGGGGUGGGACGCUCUCCAAUCUGGGAGGGCGAACAAGCCUCUGGUCCGAAAUGAGCCUCCGCUCUACCAUGACGCUGAGAAGGUUGUCAUUGACUAGGCUCCGGGGGAGCUCUUGGGUUAUCGGGUGCUCCGUCUUCAUUUUCUUCAUCCUCGGAGCCUCAACCUCUGAAGGGGGAUCCCUUUUCGGAGCCAUUUCGGGAAGCGGGGAAGAGACCGUCUCGAAAACUGAUGGCGACGGUGGGAAAUGCGAGCAGGUGGCAGGGGGCGCAAGGCGAGUGUGAGGUGAGGGGAGCGGGUGUGGUCAAAAGUCUUAGGAGCCAAGUAAGAAAAAAAACCAGGGGGGAGAGCGGUCAAAUUUAUAGCUUGGAGGGUGGGGUGGGACGGGUGCGGCCUGCAUGGCAACCAAACCCAGCCGCAGUCUCAAGGAGCCAACAGGAGGCGGACACGCAUCACCCCAUGCCACAAUGAACGCCUCGCACCCUAAGACUCCUCGGGCUCGCAGUACGAGCAGACCCCUCGGCUCCCACUUUUGUCUCCAUGCCACUAGUCUUGGACCCAAGAAGUUUUCUCCCACCUCACCGCAGAGGUCCAAACCCGCAACCCAAGAUCAUAGACCUCGAGACAGCAAGGACUCAUACCUAUGCCUUUCGUUCCCAUGGACCUUUCCUCUCUGUUGGCUUGGGAAUUCAGCUUGAAAAUGCCCGACCGAAAAGGCCCCGGCGACCACCGCGAGCUAAGUCUUGGCACCCAUCGGGAAAGGGCUGCUGUUGGGGAAUCAGCCAUGAGUCAUAAGCCCAAGGUACCAUGCAAUCCGGAAGAACCCCGAAUCUGCUGGGGCCCCUCCAGACAUGGACAAACAGGGUUCUCUCCCUCUCUUCUCUCUUUCUCCAUCCAGAAGUCCAAGACAGCAGACAAGGGUGCAUACCCAGGGAAGAUACGUGCAGGAUGCCGGAGGAAGCCUGAGAGGGCUGGGGGUCCCCCAGCCCAGAAAUGAUUAGCGAAGUGGAUGGGACUCCACCAUCAACUUCCUCAAGGCCCACGGGUAUGGUUGGGCCAAGUGUGCGUCAGUCCUAAGGGCGGGUUUGUUGUACCGACCCCAUCUCCGGUACGGAGGGUCCUUGUACUGGGCCACCAUGUCCGCCCUAAGUACGGAAAUCCCCCAUAGCACGGAAAGUGAAGGCACAAGACCAGAGUGCCCCUGAAAGGGGUGCCACGGGUGGGAGGGGCCGUAUCAAGGGUAGAAGGGUCUUCUAACCAAAAAGGUUCAUUUUCCCAAGGCUAUAAAUGCGAUCCUUGGGCUCGUCUAAGACACAACAUUCUAGCCACUCAGUCCCCUAGAAACUCUUUGGACAAGUGUUGUGUCCUAGAGCCACCCUCUACUAUUUGGGUAUUUUGUAACUACCAAUAGUUUGACUACCAAAGUUGUAGCCACCGCAGUUAGACACAUUCACCUUGUGGUCGUGCCCUUAAACUGCCUGUGCCGAUAAGGGAAUCAUGAUAGGGUCUACUUCCGUGUAGGGUGGGGGUUUUCGGGAGGUUGACCAGAGGAAGUAGUUUAAAGAUUGCUUUGGAUGAGAUGCAUGAUGUGCUUGCUCAUUGGCUAGAACUGCAACUAGAAGAUGAUAGGCUCUUGCUAUCCUUGGUGGUGUUAUAUCAUAUAUAUAUGUGGAUGUGAUCUACCUUUACUCAUGAUAUUAAUCUUUACAACAAGUUUGCCUUCAUAUGCAAUCAAUGCUUUAUGUUAGGAUUGAUCCAUUAGAUUAGAUGGAAAACCCUAGUCAGUUUGAUGCUAAUCGACAGAUUGAUCAACCUUGGAUGGAAUACUCUAAGAAAAAAGCUACGAUGAUCCGUGCGCUUGCAGUUCACAAACUAGCGUGCUAACUACCAUCAACACCAAGAUCCACAUACUUUCUUCUAGUCAGUUCUGGUUCUACCUUGCAAUCAUGGUACCACUCCCUCAAGGUGACAACUAGCUACCGGUUAUACCAUCCAGUGCAUUGCUUUGGUAAGAACCUUGUAAGAGUUUGGUAAGACGCUUGAGAUAUUGUGUAGUUCCACCUUUCCACCACCUGUUAGUUGAUAGGGAUAACACAUUUGCGCUAUCUUUUGCUACUUCUAACAAUAACAUGUUGUUCAUAUCCAUCAACUUAUGAUGGUAUAGGUGCUGAUGAGUACAUUAAGUAGGAAAUAUCAAUAGAUAAACAUAUUUAUGAAUCGUUUUAUGUGUGCAAGAUGCAACUAGUGCUUGCGACGUUCUACUUUAACUUGGUGGGAGACCUUAAGUCUAUCAGAUAAACCUCAAACUUGGGACGAUAUGAAAGUUCUUAUUAGAUAAACUUUUGCUAAUCCAUCUCAUAUAAUUAAUUCAUAUGAUGAGGUGCAUCAUUUACAGGAUCAGUCUCCUGUUGUAUCCCUUGCUAUGCCUAACCUUUUGCAGGACUAUGAACAAAAGCAAGAGGAUGAGGAGGACGUGAAAGAAAAAGAGAAUCUCACAACAUCAUGUGCAAAAUCAAAACCAUCACUUUAAAAUGCACCUAUUACUCCAGCUGACAGGUACUGCCCAUGGUGCUGCACUCACGGACGGUGAGAAUUCUCUUGAUGUGCUAAAUUUUUUCACCAAUCAUGCUCUCAUAGAGCAACUGUCAGUGGAACCUUCUCUUGAUUUAUCUUCACCACAAGAUUAUUUAUGUCCUGUGCCUUGUGAUAAAGAUGAAUUUUGUGACAAUGCUUCUGUUGUACCAAUGAAUAAUCAUAUGGUAUAUGUCCUAUGGAAUCAAACACUUGUGCUGAAAGUAGACAUGUCAUUCAUAUUACUAGUGAUCAAGAUGAGCUGAAAUUAUUGUUUUCUUUAAAUAUUUUGUGUUGCAUUGAAUUUGAUAUUUUGUGUAAUCUAAGUUGUUUAGAGGAGAGACUUUUUGGAUAUGCUGAUUUGACAUGUUUUUCUAGACACACAUAUCGUGUUGUUAGCAAAUAUAACAUCAACGGACAAUACAUGAUACAUCGCAUUUACAUUAGUAGCAAUAUGGAAUCUCCAUUCUUGUGCAAGGUUGUAAUCAACUAAAUGGAUCCAGUACUGCUAAUAUUAUUAUGCCAUCUAUUCCUAUGCUGCCCAAUACUGCUAAUAUUAUUAUGCCAUCUAUUCCUAUGCUUCCCCUUGUUAGUACUAACCUUUUGCAAGAUAGAGUUGACAAGGGUGCUAUUGUCAAUGAACGUGUGCAUUUCGAUCAAGGAGCCUACAUGUUUACUAAUAUCUCUAUAGGAGAAGACAAUCCGGAAGAUUGGAGAAAUGAUCAUAUUCCUUAUCAUGAUAUUGCGAGUAAUAUGUACCCGCUAGGGUUGAUUCCCGAUCUUUCGAUGUGAGGGCGUGGGAUAACUCGAUUGGUGGAUGGAGAUGAUGUUCACGGCUAAGAAUGCUGCGCCUUAGCAACCGAUACACCACCUCUAACGGUCGCCGCAAUCUUAAGAAGCACGAUCAACCAAACCACUAGGGUAAUUCCUGCCAGCAAUCAAGGAACAAGUAAGAACAAGUAGAACAAGAAAUUUAAUUGCAAAUAUGGAGAUAGAAACCAAUCUGAAUCACAAAGUUGGGAUUCUGAAUCGAGUAGAACGGAUGGUUUAGUCGACACACGUGUCUACAUGAAAGUAGCAAUGGCUAAACUUUCAACAAAACAAAACUCAAUCUUUUUGUGGUGGCUCUAAUCCUUAUUAAUACCUAGGAAGAUGACCGGGGGGUCUUGGUGUCGUGCUCCAACCCUAGGACACGUUCUUAUUAGACCCGACCUGAUACAAGGCCCAUUGGGCUAAAAUAAGGCGACACAACACCUUUGAUAGAAAAACCUUUCAGUAGUAGCUUGAUCAUUGCGGCCGCCUCAGGAUAUAUAUGGAUAUGAGUCUAGAUCCGUAUGAAAAUAGAAUUCAUAAGGAUUCCAAUGAGUACUUGAGCAUCCAAAACAGAGUCCGGAUGGGAUCAUGGCAGCCGUCACAAGUUGGCGCAGAGCUGCAGCCCGAAUCCAGCUCCAAAACGUGUUGGAUUUGAUCUCUUUCUUUCCUUGGGCCAAAGGUGACGUGGUGGCCUGGUGGAGGAUGUUGGGAAUACUUGGACUUCGUCCCCAAUCAACUUCUUUGGUUCUCCAUUCCUUCCAUGUGUGUUUAAUAAUCUUUUUGAUCCAUGUAUGUAUUUCUGAAAAUCACAAUGAACACACAUCAUGGUGCAGCAUCAAUUCAUCAAAUAUAUCAAAUACAAUCUUGAUAAAGAAUUGUUUCACCUUUGAAUCAAAAUUUGCCAAUGCGGUUAUAUCCGAGUAGGUGAUAUCCUCACAUUCUCCCCUUCUUGCUUGCAAAUCAUCCUCGACUUGCUCCAAUGGCGUUCAAAGGUGCUUGCUUUGAUGUUGGAGCACGGAACAACGGCUAUAUUGCACGGCCACAACCAGCAAUGCUCCCUUUCUUCAGGCUUACCCUGUUGCAUAUGGGAAAAACUAGGAAAAUUUUGCAAGACAUUAUUAGUGUUAGUGCAUCCCCCUAUUUGAUCAUGGUAUUGUAUCCCAAAAGGAUAUUUCAGAUUAAAGCAAAUAUAAACUUUAUGCUGUGGCCGAUACGCAACAAUGGGGCUGCAAAUAUGUCAAGUGUAUAUCCAGAAGAACUUGGGACACCGAUUUCCUAAAAGUGUCCGACUUUGGCCUACAACCGAUCCGAGCAGUCGGCUCUGAAGAUUCAGAUUAGAUGGAUCAGUUCGUCCGAGAAGAUGGGAAGUUGGGGCACAGGUUUACAUCGGCUGAUUCAUUAGAAAUGAUAGAUUUAGGUGACGGCACCAAGCCAAGGCCGAUGUACAUUAGUGCUAGCUUGGAUCCAGAAUACAAGUGUAAAUUGACAAAUUUAUUGAAGGAAUUUAAAGAUUGCUUUGCCUGGGAAUAUCAUGAGAUGCCUGGUUUAGACUGGUCCAUUGUUGAACACCAGUUGCCCAUAAAGCCAGGAUAUCGGCCAUAUCAGCAACCCACACGACGGUGCAAUCCUAAAAUUCUACCUGAUAUAAAGGCUGAGAUUACAAGGCUAAUUGAAGCGAAAUUUAUUCGGUAGUGCUAUUACGCCGAGUGGAUCUCCAAUAUUGUACCCGUAUACAAGAAAAACGGAAAGCUGCGCAUUUGCAUUGACUUCAGGAACCUUAAUAAGGCUACACUGAUGGAUGGGUAUCCAAUGCCAACAACCGAUGUGUUAAUAGAUGCCGCCGCGGGACAUAAAGUCAUCAGUUUUAUGGACGAAAACGUCGGGUUCAAUCAAAUAUUAAUGGCCAAAGAAGACAUUUCAAAAAUGGCUUUCAGGUGCCCGGGCCACCUCGGUUUAUUCGAGUGGGUAGUAAUGACCUUUGGAUUAAAGAACGCCGAUGCUACAUAUCAACGGGCCAUGAAUUAUAUAUUUCACAAGCUUAUCGGUGUACUGGUAGAGAUCUACAUCGACAACGUCGUGGUCAAGUCAAAAGGACACCAGAAACAUCUGGCUGAUUUGCGGGAGGUAUUGGAACGCACAAGGAAGCAUGGGUUGAAAAUGAACCCAAACAAGUGCGCUGUCGGCGUGUCCGCCGGGCAGUUUCUGGGAUUCAUGGUUCAUGAGCGUGGGAUAGAAGUCAACCGGAAAAUCAUAGUGGUUAUCAAUAAAGUUGUGGCCCCACAAAAUAAAACUGAGUUGCAAUCCUUGAUUGGCAAAGUCAAUUUCAUCAGAAGAUUCAUAUCCAACCUGUCCGGGCGUAUUCAAGCCUUCACACUGUUACUGAAGUUGAAGCCCGACCAAGAGUUUGUAUGGGGAGAAGAACAACGAAAGGCACUGGAAGACAUCAAGCAAUACCUAAUCUCGCCACCCGUACUGGUCCUACCGCAAGCUGACAAGCUGUUCAAGCUAUACUUAUCGGCUGAUGAACGAGCUAUUGGAUUGGCGUUGGUACAGGAGUUCAACGGAAAGGAACGGGUGAUAUAUUAUGUUAGCAGAAGACUUCUGGACGCCGAGACAAGAUUUCCUAGGUAGAGCGACUGUGCCUGUGUCUUUACUUCUCAUGUACCAAACUCAGGCACUACCUGUUAUCGGCAGAGUGCAUAGUCGUAUGCAAAGAUGAUGUGAUGAAAUACAUGCUGUCGUUGCCGAUUUUGAAAGGGCAGAUUGGAAAAUAGAUCUUGGCUUUGUCAGAGUUUGACCUAAGAUAUGAAUCGGCCAAAGCUGUCAAAGGUCAAGUCAUGGCCAAUUUCAUCGCCCAACACUGCGGACCAGAAGUCGCUAUCGUUGAGCCGGUCUCGUGGACUCUAUACUUUGAUGGUUCGUCAUGUGGGGUCGGGUCAGGAAUCAACAUCGUUCUCAUAUCACCUCGGGGGGCAUGUUAUGAUUUCUCUCUGCCGGUAGAAGCAUCGGCGACCAAUAAUCAGGCAGAAUACCGAGCCGUCCUAAAAGGGAUAGAGUUAUUAAGAGAGAUCAAGGCCGACGCAGUGGAAAUUUUUAGGGAUUCCAUGCUCAUCGUAGACCAAUUGACGGGGAGAUCCGAAUGCAAAGAUGAUGUUUUGAGAAUUUACUACAAAGAUUGCUUCCAACUUUUAAAGGAAUUCAAGUUCGCGGUUAUCGAGCAUAUCCCCAGAAACUAUAAUGAGGAUGCCAAUCGGCUUGCCCAACAUGCAUCCGGGUAUCGGCCGAUUCAAGGCGCCAUGACUCUGGAACUCGCAGCCGACGAUUGGCGAAAAGAGAUUGUCAAUUACUUGAAAGAUCCAUCCAAGAAAGUGGAUCGGCGAGUGCGUUUUCAAGCCACAAAGUACGUAUUACUAGAAGGCGACUUGUUCUACCGAACGGUUGACGGGGUUCUGCUCAAAUGCCUGGGGACAGAGGAGGCAAAGAUCCUGAUGGGAGAAAUCCACGAAGGCGUGUGCAGAGCUCACCAAUCGGGCCAUAAGAUGAAGUGGAUGAUUAGGAAUAACGGAUAUUAUUGGUCGACGAUCCUUGAAGACUGCUUCAAAUAUUAUAAAGGGUGUUAGGAUUGCCAGAAGUUUGGAAAUGUACAACGUGCGCCCGUAUCGGCCAUGAACCCGAUAAUCAAGCCAUGGCCGUUCAGAGGUUGGGGAAUAGACCUCAUCGGUCAAAUUUAUCCUCCAUCAAGCAAGGGACAUAAGUUCAUAUUAUUAGCUACUGACUAUUUUACCAAAUAGGUGGAGGCGAUCCCACUAAAGGCCGUGAUAUCAGCCGCCAUGGUCGAUUUCAUAAGAGACCACAUUGUCUAUCAUUUUGGUAUCCCUCAAACUAUCACGACCAAUCAAGGAACGAUGUUCACUUCGGGAGAGUUCGAGGAAUUCACUACCGAUAUGGGAAUCAAAUUGCUAAGUUCUUCUCCAUAUUAUGCUCAGGCUAAUGGCCAAGCUGAGUCGUCCAAUAAGGGGAUAAUAAAGUUGAUCGAAAGAAAAAAUUGAGGAACAACCUAAGAAGUGGCAUUUGUGUUUGACCGAAGCUUUAUGGGCUUACAGGAUGGCCUGCCAUGGGGCCACUAAGAUAUCCCCUUAUCAAUUGGUGUAUGGUCAUGAAGCAGUAUUGCCUUGGGAGUUAAGAACGGGGUCAAGACGUACAUCACUUCAGGAUCAGCUGACAAUCGAUGAUUACUCCUCACUCAUGAAAAGGGAACUCGAUGAUUUGGCAGGCCAACGACUGAGGACCCUGAUCAGCAUUGAGGAAAAUAAAAAGAGAGUGGCCAGGUGGUAUGACAAGAAGGUUAAAAUCAAGCAAUUCUCCCAAGGGGAUCUGGUUUGGAAGUUGGUGUUGCCGAUAGGGUCUAAAGAUCCUAAGUUCGGUAAGUGGUUGCCCACUUGGGAAGGGCCGUAUAAAAUUGGCCGAUGCGCUUCGGGAAACGCAUAUAUUCUGGAGACGAUUGAGGGAGAAGAAGUCACAAGAGCCUUGAACGGGAGGUACCUGAAAAGAUACUGUCCCAGUAUAUGGGUCGAUGCAUAAGUGGUUGCGGAGCACAUCAAGAUGAAACGGCCAGCUCUUGGAGAAUUGUGUAGCCGAUGUAAAAACAAAAUCUCCUCGAGAAAAAAGAUAUUCGUUUAGGUUGGCCGAUUUAUUAUUCGGUACAAAUGAUAAGAUACACGGCCGACACGGUACAAGUUGCCCUUAGAACAAAAAAUACCAACACAUCUAUUAACCACGCUUUUUCUUAAGUUCCCUCUCAACUCGACCUAAUUCUAUCAGGAGGCGGGUGCUUCUUUCCUCUAGAUCUUUCAUCGCGGCUUCAGCCUCAAUUUGGUGUGGAAGAGGAUGACUCUGAUCCAGCAGCGGUCGAGAUGUUCCUGCCGCGGCGUCUUCAAGGACGACCGGGCGAGGGAGUGGAUGACUCCUAUCUAUUGGCGGCCGCCUAUUGCAGUUGCCAUCAAUGUGAUCCCAGAUUCGCUGGACUUCAGCAGGGAUAUGGUCUCUGAGUUCUUCAUGGUGGGCUCUGAUCAAGUCUUUGUCUUCCUGCGAUAACGGUUCAUCGGAGUGCAUGAUUUUGAUCGCCCGUUCCAGUUCGGGGCUAAGACGUCUCGGCUGAAAGAUUAACAUAUAACCGCUCAACGUGAGACUGGUUAAAGGAUCAGACCGGAGGAGGGAGAACAUAGGAAGAUCUCAUACCUAGUUGACGGAAGGAGAAGAAAAGGAGGACAAUGGAAUAAAGUACCAGAGGGGUAAAAGAUGAGCAAGGCGAAUGCUCUUGGAAGCGAUACGGGGUCUUGCACUUAUAGAAAGAAAAAGGGGGGAAGGUUUGGUAAGACGCGUCCCAUCGGAGUAAAAAGGGUAAUGAAUGAAAGGCCGCCGUGAAGGAUGGGUCAGGAUUGAAUUCGUACGUCAAACGAUCAAAAGACAUUAAUGUUUUUACAAGAGCAGCCAACACUUUUACAGUUCAUCCAAGGAGGUAAAUUAUGGCCGCAAUCGCCCAUUGUCUAACUUGAUCGGCCAAGUCUAAGACUCGCUGGUCAUCAUCGGCUGAUCCAGAGACUUCUGACAUAUGGCGAUGAAGUCUAAUUGCCUCGUGGGCUAGAUGCUGUCUCUCUUGCUUUAGAUCGGCGAUGACAGAAGGGAGGUCUUGGAGUCUCUUCUCUUCAACGGCUAUGUCCCUGGUUACUUGCUCCAUCUCCUUGGCAAGCUCCGCUCUUCGGCGCUUGAGGCGAUCUAUAGUACCAACAAUAUCCGAGCGGGAGUUUUCAAGGAAAUGGAUCCGAUGGUGUACCUCUUGGGCCCGGUGCUUGUACGAGUCUUCCUCCUCACGAGCUUUGGCCAGCUUGGCACGAUUGGCCAUGUGGCGCAGAGCCCUGAACACUGGGAUCUGUAUUGAUUCAAUAUAUGCGGUGGGCGCUAGAGCUUCUUCCGCCUCUUCUGGAACUCGAUCGUUGAUGUCACUGAAGAGCUGCCGAAUCGGCGAGGCGUCCUCCACCAAUCGGCUAAUGUCUUCUUGGAGGAGGGUCCGUAUAUUCUCAAGUUCGGCACGGACGUCAUCGGGGAUUGAGCUCAGGGUGAUCUGACGUGAAGCAACCUCUUCGUCAUCAGAAAGCAUGACCGCAAAGGAGAAGAGGUUGUUAUUGGGAGUAUCCUGCUCCUGCAAAAGAGUAAGAGUGGAAAGAAUAGGUUAGCCGACGGUAAUAGGAAAUCAGCCGAUUCAGGUAAUAGAUCUCUUACUUCUUUGAGGUGAAUUUCUUCUACUUGCGCCUGCGGGAGUGCUGCCCUUGGUUCAGGAGCUGGUGCGACUGGCUCAUCAGAGGAGGAGGAUUCGACGAUUAUUGGCGUCCUGCUCGGAUCGGCCUCUUGGAGAGCCUUCCUGGCCCAUGGCUAUUGAGAAAGUACAAUUGACGUGCCAAUAGACUGCAUCAGGAGCGGUCAAGCCUUUGGUUAAGUAUUAAAGAAUUGAGUUAAGAGAUUCUGUACCUCACUGGGAAGAAGCACUGGUGCUCCGGUUUCUGCUUGGGGCGCCGCUAAUUGCUGUGGAGCCACCGGGGCAGUUUGUGUAGCCUAAUAUAGGGAAGAAGUCAGUAUCGGGAGGAUACUCAGGAGGACGUGAAUACAAGGUUACCUGAAAGGCUUCUAAUAGCAGAGAUGCGGCAGCCGCUCCGGCUUCUGUAGCAGCGUGGGGAUCAACCUCCUCGAUGACUGGGAGGAUCGGCGCAGCCAAAGAUUCCGCCGAUGCCACCGCGGAUGGAUCGGCCGAUUCUGUGUGGGCGCGCACUCGGUAGCUUGUCUUCUUUACAGCCUUCUUCGAGGUCUGUUUCAAUCAGUAGGUUAUGUCAUCAAUUGAGGGGGGCGUGGUAGCCGAUGAGGGGGAACUCCGUGUAUGGGUAACGAGAAAGCCGACCGCUCCGGCUGCGUCUUGGAGGGAGUCGACUCUCGGACUGUAAGGAAAAUAAGAGUUAGUGGUAUAAAAAGGAAAAAGGUGUAAAAAUUGGCUAAGGAAGAGACGGUACCUCUGCGUUCGGGUCAAUGUUGUCGGGGUCCAGGAUGUUGCAAUAUAUUGCUGGGGAUGCACAGAAGAGAUGUUGUUUCCAUUCUGUCCACCAUAGUUUGAACUGUUGGACAGCAAAUGGGGCUACUAUCCAAUUGGCUAGGUCAAUGGUACUGGAGUCAGGCACCCGGUCGUACAACCGACUAUAAUCAAGACCUUUAGUGAGCUCGUCCCGGAAUUUUGCACGACCGGCGAAGAAAGCAUAAAUCGGCAGCUGACCCAAGCUGAACUGAUGUGCCGCAACGGAUGGGUUGUAAACCUCAUAAGUAGGGGCGUCCUUCCCCGAGAAAAAAUUCACCAGUAAGAUCCCUGGCUUAAUCAGAUCAUCCGUGAGGUCAUCGUCAAAAGUGUUGGUCGUCGAGUCAUAGCAAGGGGGGAGCUCGAAAAGUGGUUCUGAUCUCUGGUAUGGGAACCAGUUGGUGGUCUCCUCACUAAAGCCGUUAUAGAAGCAUCUUAACUAUUCGGCUACCUUGGUGGCGAUGAAUUGGCAACCAAAGAAAGCCGAUGCUGCUUCGCCGAAGGAGGUGCAUCGACGCCAUACGGUGGGGUUUUCCGCUAACUCAAUGUUGGGGAAAGUCAUAUGCUCCACCCGUUGCUGUGAGAUCUUGCUCAUAUACAAAUUGAGCCACAGAUUGAUGAACCAUCAGGGGCCACCUGGAUUUCCAAUCGACUCUCCCUUGGAUAAUUUGACACCAAUUUGAUGCAGCAUAUGAUAGGCUGAUCCCAGCAGGUGUUUCCCGAGGGGAAUAGACGCUCCUAUUGAUAAUGCUUCAGCCAAAGCCUGCGUGUUGGAAGAUGGACCAGCUGCUCUACUGCAGAAGAGGUGUUUUUCCAGCCACAUCAUCAAGAAGGUCGCGUACUCCCUCUCUAUGACUGUCCCGGUCCUCAUGUUGUUUUUGAUGAACCCCUUCCACCCGCCAAUUCCUUUUGUUUCUAGCCGAUAGGUCAGCUUGACCAAAUAACGAAAGGGGGUAUCAGGAGAAGAGAUGUCAAGGCCGGUCAACAUUAUGACAUCAGCCAGAGUGGGGGUCAUGGGCCCAUGUCCGAAAAGAAACGCGUUGAGAGCGUCGGACCAAAAAUAAGAGGCUGCUAUCACUAAGGGUUCAUUCCUUUCCAUCUGGGACAAAGACAGAUCGAUGCACUGGCCAAUUUUUCGCUCAUCCCAUUGAACCCUCUUAGAGUUGGCUAUCCUUUGAUACCACUCUUUCCAGCCGGGGGUUUCAUUCGGCCAUGAUCUGAAAGUGCCUGACCAAUGAUCCAAGUCCAUGGUUGACUACUUAAACGGAAUCCUAUGGGUUUCCAAGUUGAUUAAAUCAGUUGGGUCUGGGUUUCCCAUAGGACCUAGAUAGAUGAGACCAGGGGUUUCGGUAAGGUGAAUGGUGAUUUGGUGCCUAACCAUUUAAAAAAGGUAAAGAGAGAAGAACUAAGAAUAGAUCUAAAACAAAUGUUUGGACAGUAAAGGUAAAAAAGAAAGUUUCAGUAAAUACCUCUGGGAUGAAGGUCAUCAUAACUGGCGGAACCGCUAGUGGAGCUACUGUCGCCGAAGCUGUCGGUGGGACCUCUGUCGCUGAUGAAGCUGCUGCCGCCGCCGAUGAAGCUACUGCCGCCGGGAUCUCUGGUGCUAGUGAAGUUUCUGAUGGCGCCGCCAUUGGUGAGAUGGUGUGGAAUGUGGAUGAAAAGGAGUCGCUGGAGGAGGAGAUUGGAAACGAAAGAGGCGUCAGAGGAGGUGAAACUAGUGCGCUAAGAAAGGAAGUUAUUGGCUUGUGAAGAAGAAGUGCGGAACGUGCUGGUAUUUAAGGACGGUCCGAGAAGGGGGUAAAGGUGGGAUUUUUACCGCGUCGUCUACAUGAUUUUCUGGGGAGUGGUUGUCUCAGGCGCCCAUUUCGAAAAGAUUGCAAUCAGCAGGCAGAAGACCGCGAAACGGAAGGAUAUCUUUAAUGCGUUUUUGGAGGAGAAGUUGAAAAGAAUUUUGAAGUAAAGAUUAUGUUUUACUCCGGAACUGGGGGCAUGUAUUGACGUCAGAUUUUGACACGUAUGGAAUCGACAUCAAAAAGGAGAAAGGAUUGGCUGAUGCGGCAAAGUUGAAAGGUCACGAUUGGGAAUCGGCCGAUUGGUGCUACAGUUGGAGAUCGGCCGAUUGGCGCUGCAGUGUUUUGGUGGACGGAGUUGGUAGAGAUCGGCCGAUUGGAAGGCUGGAGCAAUUGGGCCAAUGUGGGCUUAAAGUGGAUCAGAAAGAGAAGACGAAGGAGGAUUGGCCCGCAGGAGUACAAUAACCAAUUCCGAUAUGAGUUGUACUUGUAGAUAUUCGUUUUCGUUUAAAAAUAGAGAUAGAUCCUAGUCGGUUAGGAAAUUGGUUGUAACAGGCUAUAAAUAGCCAUCUUUAGAGAUCUGUAAACAACACAUCAAUCAAUACAACAAUCUACUAUUUCCUCAUACUUUACUUUCAAGUCGGCGACUUCGCCAAAACCUUUCUUCUUUUCACGAGUUCGUACGGGUUAGCAGGGCUGCAUCGACACGAUCUCCGGCCGAUUCUGUAAGUUCCGUUUAUCGAGUAAUAUUGUCGUUGUCAAGAUUGGCAGAUCAAGACUUAGACUAGUAAAUUUCUUUUAUGCGCGUAAGGCUUCAGAUGGUGGCGUGGGAGACACGGGUUUAGACUGGUUCGGGCAAGGGAAGCCCUACGUCCAGUAUCGAGGAUGCUCAUAUUGCCCACGCGGGGUUCUGUAGUAGGGGUUACAGAUCGACGAGAGAGGGACUGGUCCCAAGUCUCUUUGUGCUUGUGCUCUCAGGGAGCGUACUAGUGUGCUGUGGCUUGUGGGAGAAGAAGCCGCCCCUUUCUCCGGCCCCUGGUGCUCCCUUUUAUACCGUAAGGGGGCGGCCGGAGUUACAGCUGAGACCGGACGAUUGAGAGUAGUAAGAGUGUGAAUGUAGUACGGUAAAAAUACAGCAAGAAGGGAGGAACCAAGUUCCUAGGCGCCCGGCGCCUUCGCCGGCCCCUGACAAGCGCCGGCACGCAUGCUGGAGGAGGGGGGCGGCCGUGUGCCAACUGUCGUCACGCCCUACGGAUAGCCCCUUCGACGUCCGUAGGCGUCGGGUUAUGAUGAAGGUGUUUCGUCAUUACUUCGGUGUCCGCUGGGGUGGACGGCGGAUGCCACCAUCCUGAUGAUGGCUUCUGGAGAGAGGGCGUCACAUCCCCGCUGCCGGGCGCGCGGGACCCGAGGGCACGCGGGGCCCGAGGACAGGCGAGUCUUUCCUCCGCUCCGAUCGGCGCAGGCCAUGAGUACCCUGCGGUGAAUGGAAGGGAGCCACCAGCACUGUAGCUUGUUCAGUGUGGUCGUGCAUGGGUACUUGCAGUGGGUUGCGUGAGGAGCACGGUCAUCCUUCCCCCUGCCAGGCCUGCGGCGCAUUUAUGACAAGGCCGACAAGGGGGACCCACGGGAUCGUUAUCUUGUCCACCGGGUCCGCAUCCGAGGGGGAUGUCCGUCCUGGGGGCGCCAGCGAGUUCGACCCCUGUGCUCGGGGUCGGACGAGGCGGAACCUUGUGGUGAGGGGUCGGGCGCCCCCAACCCCGGGGUCGCAGUCGGACGAGGCGGAGCCUCGCGGAGGGAGGUCGGACGCUCCCGACCCCGGGACCGCGGUCGGGCGAGGCGGAGCCUCGUGGCGGGAGGUCGGACGUUCCCGACCCUGGGACCUAAGGUCGGGCGAGGUGGAGCUUUUAUUAUGCUGGGUGGACCUGGGCCUUCGUCUUUGUUCUUUUAAGCGGUAUUUACGAGAUCGUUAAUAUUUCCCCCCAACAGUAGCCCCCGAGCCUGUGGUGGAGCAAAAGUGCUCCUCCGGAGGCUUCUUUCGAUGUUUCGCCGCAGAUCUUGUUUAUGGUGCAUUUGCUUUAUCCCAGCUUGGCCGGGGAACCUGCGAAUCGCGACCACACGCGUGGCCGUUGGUUGCGAUGCUAGCCCCCGAGCCCCCGCGCGUUGCAGGAGACCGGUCGGGAGGCCAGGUCGACUUUUGAUCGUUGCCCCUCAAGCGUCCGUUCGCUAGGACGGAGGGGUUGAGUUGUGCCACGUUAUCCUCGUUGGACGAACCGUGGUGCUCGUUUGAGCUGCGAACGGGUAGGUUCGAGUGGAGUCCCGGUCCCCGUUCGGGGGGGUUCGGCUCGGGCCAAGCUGGUGGCGUACUCCAAUCUCCCGUCGGCCAGUUCAUAUAGUUCCCGGGUCCGUUCGGCCAGAUCCGGGGGCUCGUUGCCUUUCCCUGUGGAAACACCAUGAACUUUAUGCUGGUCAGGACUCGAAUGUGAGGUCGGGACGCCCUUGGCUUUCGCUCGCCUAGGUGUUGGCCGCUAGCGGACCCAUCCCUUCUCACCCCUCGCUCGGGGGGUGUCCUGAGGUAGCUGUCGAACCCGUGGCGGGCCAGCCUUCGAACCUCUGGACCGUAAUGGGCCGUAGGGGCAUUUUCAGCCCCGUAUCCCUUUCUUACCUUUCGGUGGGCCUUGGGCUGGAACGGAGCGGUCGUUGCGUUUGGGCCGAACAUGGGGGACGUCGUGGGCGUGCUUUUCGGGAGACGGAGUUAUGGGGAGUGUCGUCCCGCGGAUCGAGGAGGAUUGGAUGUUUUUGCGGCCCAUCACGCGUGCAGUUUCCGAAAAGGAAGUGGGCGUGGCAGGGGCGUACCUACCGCCGCAUUUAUGGUGGCAGGGGUGUCGAUUUGGCUUCCCCCGCACCUUUCCUAUAAAAACGGGAGCCCGCCUCGCUGGUUCCGCCCGCCUUCUGCAUUUGAGCCCUUUUGUCCUUCAGCCUCACGCUUAGCUCACCCGCGUCCACUUUGCCUUCCUCCGCUCCAAGCUGCGCCCUUUCUUCCCACCUCCGUCGAGCUUUCUCCUCUUCCGGCGAUGGGUUCUUGGGGGAUCUCCCAUUUCACCUCCUCGUGCGCCGAGGGCCUAGUGCGGAAAGGCCUCCUCUGUGAGAGGACGGCGGCGGGCGAGUGGGAACUGCUAGGGACGGAGCAAGUGCCGACACCUCCCUCCGGCUAUGUCAUCUCCUUCGCUCACUUCCAUGAGCGGCGGUUCGCUUCUCCCCCGAGCCGCUUCUUCCGGGGGCUCCUCCACUACUACGGGCUCGAGCUCCAGCACCUUAAUCCCAACGGGAUCCAGCAUAUUGCGGCGUUUGUCGCACUGUGCGAGGGGUUCCUGGGCAUCGAGCCCAACUUCUCGCUGUGGAAGUACUUUUUCACAGUGAGUUUGUACCAGAAGAUGGAGAAGAGGGGGAGCCAGCAGCGGUCGCCUCCGGUGCCGAUUGGGUGCGCCAGGAUCCACCUCCGCCAUACUCGCUCCAAGGAGUAUAUGGCGAUGAAGACCUCAGCAUCCCACAAGGGGUGGCACAACCAGUGGUUCUAUGUGAACAACUACUCGAACUCCCCCCUGCUGGGGUUCACCGGCCGCACCAUCGACGUGGCGCCGGAGGCGUGGGCAUAUGGGCCGGUGGAUAAGGAGAAGAAACGGAUCUCCGACCUGCUGCAGGCCAUCGAGCGGCUGAAGAGGAGCGGGCUCAGCGGCGCCGGGGUCAUUGGUGCAUAUCAUGCCCGGCGAGUGGCGCCGCUGAUGCUCCGGGUCCGCCCGCUUGCCACCAUGACUCCCGACGUGCCGACCGAGGGCACCGCCUUGGCGGUGGGUGCGCUUGUCACUUCCGAGAUCCGGCAACGGAUUCGGGAGGCGCUGGAGGACAAGGACGCCGAGUACCCGAUUCCCGGGCACCCGCCGAUGCGCCCGGACGCGGGCUUCAUAGACCUAGUAAGGGGUUGGGGCGUCGACCUCCUUUCUUUGCGUCUUGCGAUUGUCAUUCUGACAUGGGGCCGUUUUGCGUUCGUAGGGCACACUGACCCGGGUCAUGGACUCGCUCCCGCCGGUGCCGGAGGACGCUGAACGGCGGACGCGCAACCGUCUCCUUGCCAAGGCGCAGAAGCGUCGCAAGGACAAGGAGACGGCGAAGAAGAGGAAGAAGGCCGCCAAGGAGUUCCAAUAGCGGCGGAGGGGGCCGGUUGUGUCAGACGAUGACGACGACGAUGACGAUGAUGAUGAAGAGGAUGAAGAUGAGGAAGAUGAUAAGAGGAGGAGCUGAUUUCCUCCUUCCGAUCGGGCGUACUCGUAAUUCGGGAGGUGCGCCCGCAGACGGCCGCGGGGGGUGAAGCGGAGGAGGCGUCCGCCCGGGACUUGGCUCCGCAAGGCCCUGGGGCUGCACCCCAGGGGUCGGCACGGAGCGCCCCCCAGGAGUUGACGUGGGACGCCCCCCAGGGGCCGGCGCGGGGCGUCUCCCAGGAGCCAGCGCGGGACGCUCCCCAGGGGUCGGUGAGGGGUGCCCCCCGGGGGUCGACACGGGGCUCCUUCCUGGAGCCGGCGCGGAGUGCCCCUCGGGGGUCUUCGGAGCCUACCCCCGCCGCCGCUCUGGAGCCGGCGCGGGGCGCCCCCCAGGAGUCCGCCCCGGGCGUUCCCCGGGGGUCCGCGGAGACCGCCUCUACCGUCGCGCCCGAGACUGGAGGGCAGCGAAGCGGCGACAAACGGCCGCUGCCGGAUGCCCCAGGGUCGGCGUUGGGCUCUGAGGCGAAGCACGCGCGCCGUCCUUGCGCUUCAGGAACGUAAGUUGGCCUUCCUUGCGUCUCGUUCCUCUCCCCUUCUCUCGUUCGUUUCUACUGAUGUUUGCUCGUUGAUGUGCAGCGCCGCUCCUCGUGGCCUCAUCCUGCAGCUGGCGCCUAAGAAGGCGCUGUGAGCGUCGUCCUCCUCCGGGGGACGGACCGUGGUCCCGCCCGCGGCGAGCGGCGGGGUCCUCGGUGAGGCCGCAGACCCCUCCGCGGGGACGGUCCCGGUGACGGCGGCUGGCGGAGUGGCGGCGAUGUUGGCCGCGGGAGGGGGAGCGGACCCUACUCCGUCUCCGGUUCCCCCGGUCGUCCCUAUGGCGCAGGGCAUCAUCCCCCCUGGUCCAUAGGCUGGGGAGGUGAUUGAUCUUGACGCCGACGAGGUGGAGGGGACAACGGCGAUGGGAGGUGGGACGGAUGCCCCCGCAGCCGUGGCGGGAUCGGCAGCGGAAGGGGCGCCUGCUCCUAAGACCGCGGCGGAGGAGGCAACGGCGACGGAGGCGGGGACCUUCGCCCCGAUCAUCCCCGCGGAAGUGGCUCCGGCGGCGGAGGCGGAGGGGCCCGCUGGGGGGACUCCGGCAGGAAUGGAGGAGCCUCCCCAGGUGGCUGCGGCGGAGGGCGAGGUAGCCGCGCGGAUACCUAUCAUGCCGCUUGCGUCGGAGGCGGCGCCGCCACUGGGCGACCCUACGGCGGCCUCGGCGGCGACGAGUGUGCAGGCGCCGGGGCCGUCGGUGAACCCGGCGGCUUCCGGUGUGAUGGUGCCGACCUCGACGGCAGCGUCAGGAUCGGCUCCUACCUCGGCCUCGGCUCCUCCCAUUCCCAGGGCAUGGAGAGGGUCCGUCCUUCGCUAGUCAUCCCGUGAGGACCCACCUAGACACCUCUUCAACCUGGACGAUGCCGCGGGGUGGCACAAGUGGCAGGCGGUGCAGGGUGGCCUCGCCCAUGCCCGCGCGGCUCUGUCCUCGGUGUUGGGGGCUCUGGACAACACCGUUCUCCCUGGUAACCAGGUAUGUUGCUUCUCUUGUUGGUGAUCAUCAUCUCCCAUUGCUUUGUCCCUGAUGGCACGUUGCUUUGCAGGCCCUCCAAGAGUGCAGUCGGGGGAAAUCUGAUUUCCUCCAGUUGGAGUGGGGGCUGUGGGAGCGCUUCAACAUGGAGAGGGAGCGCACCAGGGAGCUGUCUAUGCAGGUCGCUGCCGCCCAGGGGGUCAUCGGUGACCUGCAAAGGCGUGAGGGUGUGGCGCUGGAGGAGGCGUGGCGAUCGGAGGCCAAGCUUCAAGCCGUCAUCGACAAGGCCCGUCUUGACCAUGAGGAGUUCCAGGCUGCUACUUAGAGGGCCCGCCACGACGCUGAGGAGCUUGCACGGCUGAGGGGGGAGCGUGAAGCCCUCCAGAAGACCGUCGAGCGCAUCUGGCGCGAGCGGCACCAGGCUUUGCAGGACCGGGACGCCGAGAAGGCCAAGAAGGAGGAGGCUGAGAAGGUGGCGGCUGACCUUCGCUCGCAAGUGCAGGGACUCCAGACCGCCGUGUCUCAAGGAGCCGACCGGGAGCGCGAGCUGAAGUCCUGGGCCGACGGUGAGACUCCUUUCCGUUCCCGCGUUCCCGUGGUGUUGUGGUUUGUUCUUGACUUGGUGGGCUUUUCUGGAUGAUUCCUGCAGGCGAACUCGCCAAGCUGAAGGGCUUGCUCGACGUGGAGGGCAGUGAGCACGGCGCCCUGCGGGAUGCGGUCCGCGUCGUCUGCGACGGCUUCGGUGUGGUUCCGGAGGAGGGGUCGAGCUCUCUGCCGGCUCGUGUCCUCGGGGUGCGCCACUGGGGUCGCGAGAUCGCUGUGGACGCGCUUCACACCGGCGUGCGGCGAGCCUUCGGGGUCUUCGGCUCCCACUAUUCCGGCAUCAACUUUGCCGGGAUGAGCGGAGGGUACGCCGCCGGUUACUUUGAGGCUGAGCUGGACGAGAUCGACGCGGCGGUGUUCACCCCGGCGGAGGCCCUUGCGAAGCUCCUGGAGGAUGAGGCCUUCCCUUCUGCAGACCCCCCGACAAGUUAGCUGUACCGGGCUUGCGCCCAAAUUGUAACUAUGUCAGUUUCGAACUUGUUUCGUGAUGGCCAUACGGGCCUUUUUAUAACUUUGCCGUGCUAAAGUUUCCGACCCCCUUUACUAUUCCUUUGGGCUUGAAAGUUUAGAAUACGUUGUCGGGUGUGUCAGUAAGCUUUGAUGAGCGAAGGUGCCGUAGCCGCUGGGGCGUAGGUUUUUUCGCAGUCCGAUCAAUCUUGCCUGAGCACCGUUCGCGCAUUCUUCUCUUUUUGCAUCCAAAAGUCUAGAAAGGGAGUGUUCGGUUUGAAAAAAAAAAAAUUUCUUUUAGAUGGUGCCAAGUGGCUGGGGACGGAGCCCCUGAUAGCCCCCGAGGGGUAUGCGGCCCUGGAACGAGGCCAGGGUCGGAUACCCGUGAGUUUGACGGGAAAAGCCUGAACCGAGACGGCUUGGGGUUUCUUUUUCCGCAAAAGAAAAAAUUAUCAAAAUUGCAGACAAGUUUGUGCAGAACUUGGAAAUAAGAGCUAUGGGUAAAAGCGCCUUAGCUGUUCUAUGUUCCAGGCGUUGCUGAAGAUCUGCUCGUCGGGAGUCGCCAGCUUGUAGGUGCCUGGCCGUAGUACCUGCACGACGAUGAAAGGGCCUUCCCAUGGGGGAGUCAACUUGUGCCAACCCCUGUUGUCCUGGACGAGGCGGAGCACCAAGUCGCCGACAUUGAAGGCUCGGCCUUGCACCUUGCAGCUGUGGUAACGCCGUAGGGCCUGCUGGUACUUAGCCAAGUGCAGUAGGGCUAUGUCUCGUGCCUCAUCGAGUUGAUCUUGUGCGUCCUCGAGUGAUGCCUGGUUUCCUUGUUCGUCGUAUGCCUUGACCCUUGGCGAUCUGUACUCUAGAUUGGUGGGCAAAAUGGCCUCGGACCCAUAAAUCAUGAAGAACGGGGUGAAGCCCGUCGCCCGGCUGGGGGUCGUCCUCAAGCUCCAAAGGACUGCGGGCAGAUCCGCAACCCACCGUCCGCCAAACUUUUUAAGGCGGUCGAAGAUCCGUGGCUUGAGACCCUGGAGUAUCAUGCCGUUGGCUCGCUCGACUUGCCCGUUUAUGCGGGGGUGUGCCACGGCCGCCCAAUCCACUCGGAUGUGGUGGUCGUCGCAGAACUGGAGGAAUCUCUUCCCGGUGAACUGCGUGCCGUUGUCGGUGAUGAUGGAAUUUGGGAUCCCGAAACGGUGGAUGAUGUCGGUGAAGAAUUGUACCGCCUGCUCGGACCUGAUUUGCGCCACCGGUUUUGCCUUGAUCCAUUUGGAGAACUUGUCGACGGCGACAAGUAGGUGGCUGAAGCCCCCGGGCGCCUUCUUGAAGGGUUCGACAAGAUCCAGCCCCCAGACCGCGAACGGCCACGUGAUGGGGAUGGUCUGCAGCGCCUGCGCGGGCAGGUGAGUCUGGCGCGCAAAGAACUGGCACCCUUCACAGGUGCGGACCACCUGGGUAGCGUCAGCGACUGCGGUCGGCCAGUAGAAACCUUGUCGGAAGGCGUUGCCAACGAGGGUCCUUGGCGCAGCGUGGUGACCGCAGGCUCCAGCGUGGAUAUCCUGGAUCAGCGCCUUUCCCCGCUCGAUCGGGAUGCAGCGCUGGAGGAUCCCAGUGUGGCUUCUCUUGUAGAGCUCCCGGUCGAUGAUGACGAAGGAUUUGGCGCGGCGCGCGAUCCUACGGGCCUCCAUCUUGUCUGCCGGGAGCGUGUCACGGACGAGGUAGUCGAGGUAUGGGGCUCUCCAGUCGACUGGGGGGUCGGCCCCCACCGCGGGGUCUGCCGCGAUUUCCAUGACCACGAGGUCGGACGGAUCGGCUCCCGGGGCCGAGUCGGGCAAAGCGGUGUCGACCCCCUCGGGACUGGCGCUCGGGCCUGGGGUAGGUGGCGUGGUGCCGACCCCCCUGACUCGAGGCCUGACCCCAGGGCCGGGGGUGCUUCGCCGACCCCUGCCAGUUCUGGGUAACAGAUUGAAGGCUUCAACUGGUCGCUAACGAAGAUGCCGUCGGGGACGGGCAUUCAGCCGGAUGCCGCCUUCGCCAGCUCGUCGGCGGCUUCAUUGAAGCGCCUUGCGACGUGGUUGAGCUCUAGCCCGUCGAACUUGUCUUUGAGCUUACAGACCUCGUUGCAGUAGGCUGCCAUUUUGGGGUCGUGGCAGCUCCACUCCUUCAUGACUUGUUCGACGACUAGCUGGGAGUCGCCCCGGAUGUCCAUCCGACGGAUGCCCAGCUCGAUGGCGAUGCGGAGCCCGUUGAGGAGGGCUUCGUACUCGGCGACAUUAUUGGAUGCAGGAAAAUGGAGGCGGAUCAUGUACCUGAUGCGCACGCCCAGAGGAGAGACGAAGACGAGACCCGCUCCGGCGCGGGCCCUCAUCAGUGACCCAUCGAAGUACAUUGUCCAGUAUUCCUGUUUCUCCGAUGUCGAUGGCGUUUGAAUCUCCGUCCACUCUGCCACGAGGUCGGUGAGUACCUAGGACUUGAUGGCGGUGCGGGGGACGUAGGUGAUACCCUGGUCCAUGAGCUCAAGCGCCCACUUCGCGAUCCUCCCCGUGGCGUUCGGGUUCCGGAUUACUUCGCCUAGCGGAAAUGACGAAACAACCGUUACCGGGUGGGAGGUGAAGUAGUGGUGCAGCUUCCUCUUCGUGAUAAGGACGGCGUAGAUGAGCUUCUGGAUCUGUGGGUAACGUGUCUUGGAUUUGGACAAGACCUCGCUGAUGAAAUACACCGGGCGUUGUACCUUGAGAGCGUGUCCCUUCUCUUCUUGUUCCACCACCAGGGCCGCGCUAACCACCUGGGUGGUCGCCGCGAUGUAGAGCAGGAGGGGCUCACCGUCGGUAGGCGGGAGUAGGACCGGGGCCUUCGUCAGGAAGUCCUUGAGUCGGUCAAGGGCCUUCUGGGCCUCGCCGGUCCAUUCAAAGCGGUCAGUCUUUUUCAGGAGUCGAUAGAGAGGAAGCCCUCGCUCACCGAGACGCGAGAUGAAGCGGCCUAGAGCCGCCAAGCAUCCCAUGACGCGCUGGACUCCCUUUAUGUUCUGGAUUGGCCCCAUGUCGCUGAUGGCCGCUAUCUUUUCCGGGUUCGCUUCGAUGCCGCGUACGGAGACGAUAAAACCUAAUAGCAUGCCCCUUGGGACUCCGAACACACAUUUUUCGGGAUUGAGCUUAAUACGCUUAUCCCUUAGCCUUUCAAAGGCUAGUUCAAGGUCGGGGACGAGCUGAUCGCUCCUCCUGGAUUUGACUACGAUGUCAUCAACGUAGGCCUCAACGGUCCGCCCGAUGAGGUCCCCGAAGCACUUCAACAUGCAUCGCUGGAAAGUAGCCCCCACGUUUUUGAGGCCGGAAGGCAUCUUGACGUAGCAGUAGGGUCCAAAGGGGGUGAUGAAGGAGGUGGCGAGCUGGUCGGCCUCUUUCAUCGCGAUCUGAUGGUAGCCGGAAUAUGCAUCGAGGAAGCUGAGGGUCUCACACCCGGCGGUUGAGUCGACUAUUUGAUCUAUGCGUGGCAAAGGAAACGGGUCCUUUGGACACGCUUUGUUGAGACCGGUAUAAUCGACACACAUCCUCCAUUUCCUGUUCUUUUUUGGUACAAGGACAGGAUUAGCCAGCCACUCGGGGUGGUACACUUCCUUGAUGAACCCGGCCGUAAGAAGCUUCUGGAGCUCUUCGCUGAUGGCCUUGCGCCUUUCCUCGUCGAAACAGCGCAAUCCUUGCUUCACUGGCUUGGAGCUGGCCUUGAUGUUCAAGGAGUGAUCGGUGACUUCCCUCGAAAUGCCGGGCAUGUCCGAGGGCUUCCACGCGAAGACGUCACUGUUCGCGCGGAGGAAGUCGACGAGCGCACUUUCCUAUUUGGGGGACAAGGCCGCACUGAUCCGCACGACUCCUCCGUUGGAACAGCUGGGAUCGAGGGGGACCUCCUUGAUGCCUUCGGUGGGCUCGAAGGAGGUGUUCGGCUGCUUGGAGUCGGGCCGGCCCUCGGGGGCCUCCGCAAGCUGGACCGCCAGGUCGCUCAUGACGGUGAUGGCCGCGACGUACUCGCAGCACUCUACGUCGCACUCAUACGCCUUCUGAAAGGUCGUGCUAACGGUGAUGACCCCGUUGGGCCCCGACAGCUUGAGCUUAAGGUAGCUGUAGUUGGGGAUAGCCAUGAACUUUGCGUAGCAUGGCCGUCCCAAGACGGCGUGGUAGGUUCCGCGGAACCCUACCACCUCGAAGGUGAGGACCUCCUUCCUGUAGUUGGAAGGGGUCCCAAACGUAACGGGCAAGUCGAUUUGCCCGAGAGGCAUUGCCUGCUUCCCUGGCACGACGCCAUGGAAAGGCGCCUUGCUGGGACGGAGGCGGGAACGGUCGAUUCCCAUAGCGUCGAGGGUCUCGGCGUAGAGGAUGUUGAGGCCGCUGCCCCCAUCCAUGAGCACCUUGGUGAGGCACGUCGUGCCGACGAUGGGGUCGACGACGAGAGGGUAACACCCCGGAUGCCGGAUGCAUCCAGGGUGGUCGGACCUGUCGAAGGUGAUGGCCGGCCCCGCCAGUCCAGGAAGGCCGGAGUCGCUGGCUCGGCCGCGUAGACCUCCCGGUGCUCCAGCUUCUGCUGGCACUUGGUGUCGUAUGCCGCGGAGCCGCCGAAGAUCAUGAAGCAGCCGUCCACCUUAGGGAAGCCGUCUUCCUUCUCUUCGUCGCCCUUCCUUUCCUCAUCGGGCUUCCGCUUCCCAUCGCCCUUCACCGGAUUGCCCACGAAGUACCUCUUCAUGAGGUUGCAGUCUUUGUAGGCAUGCUUCGCGGGGAACUCGUGGUUUGGGCACAGUCCCUCAAGUAGCUUAUCGAAGAAGCCGGGAGUGCCCUCGGGGGGGCGGUUGCCCUCGCUUGCGCUCGACAGCGGCCACGAGGGGGGCCUCGCGCCACUUUUUGCUCUUCUUCUUCUGCUGGCGGUUGGAGGUGCCUUCGUCAGCAUCCUCCUCCCGCUUCGCCUUGCCUUUGGAGCGGUCGAAGAUCGCUCCAACAGCCUCUUCGCCCGAGGCGUAGCUGGUGGCGAUGUUGAGGAGUUCCUCCGUGGUUCGUGGGCCUCGGCGCCCCAGCUCGUGGAUGAGGGGCCGGCAGGAGGUUCCCGCUAGAAAAGCCCCUAUGACGUCGGCGUCCGCGACGUUGGAGAGCUCGGUGCGCUUCCUAGAGAAGCGCCGGAUAUAAUCCCGGAGGGACUCGUCUGCCCCCUGGCGACAGCUCCGGAGGUCCCAGGAAUUGCCGGGGCACGUGUACGUGCCUUGGAAGUUCCCUAUGAAAACCUCCUUCAGGUCGUUCAAGCUGCGAACUCAUCCCGAAGGGAUAUGUUCUAGCCAAGCUCGCGUUGAGUCGGCUAGGAAGAGGGGUAGGUUGCGGAUGAUAAACAGGUCAUCAUCCGCCCCGCUGGUUUGACAUGCAAGCCAGUAAUCGCUGAGCCAUACCCCAGGAUUCGUCUCCCCUGAGUAUUUGGCUAUAUUUGUGGGUUGCCUGAAGCGUGGCGGAAAAGGCGCGUUCAGGAUGCGCGCUGUCACACCCGAUUUUAAGGACAAAAUCGAGUGCAUUAAAUACAUGUGCGCCAGGAUCAAGUUACACACAUGUACGACAAUAGUGAAUAGCAAAGACAGUGCUAAAUCGACUAAAGAGAGUAUUAACCAUUAUUACAUGACCGAAUGUCUCAAAUAAACCACAAAGUCUAAUUAUUACGCAGCAGAAACUCCAAAGACAACGACGACUCCACAGGCAGCUGACUGAAGAAACGUACGCCUAGAACUCCUCGAAGUCGUGUAGAUACUCCUCUUCCCAAUUAACUUGGUCUGAACAGCAGUUUUGCAAGGGUGAGUACACUUAUGGUUGGUACUCAACAAGUCAUGGGGAAUAGUGUAGUGUAAGGCUAAUUCAAGGUAUGGCUAAGGCAUAAUUAGCAUUCGCUUUUAAUUAAGUUGGUCAAGUUUUAUUAGCAAUUAACUAAGUAUAAGUUCAUACCUCCCGAAAUUAAACAUCAUCAUAAAUAAAGUAAACAACAUAUGCAUGGAAUGAUAACAAGUUAAAUCUAUCUUCCGAUAAUAUUAUCAUGUGAGGGUCCAGGCCACUCUUAACCGUGAGCACGGCUGAUCGAUCAGUUUAACACUCUGCAGAGGUGGCACAUCUUUACCCACAAGUCGCGUAAAAGUUCAAUAGAACUUUGGACCCAACCAUGCGGUGUUUGCAAGGCACCAUACCACACUUCUGAGGUGUGAUUGCAUAGGGAUGCUACGAGGCCUUUACAAAGAUUCAUUAGUCAGUGGUAACCCGCUAAGGUUUCGGUGUCUGGCGUGCACCACCCAUCCCAGGUAAAAUGCAACGACUCAGUCCCCCCUCUUGCCUCAUCACGAGUAAGGUCACCCCAGACUAAGGUUUCUAAUUAAUCAGCCAAGACCAGAGCCAUUUAGUCUUGUGGUAGCACUGUUUUCCUGGGUGGUCGCUCCAUGUUCCGAUUAACAAAUAAUGAUCUUGUCUUAACGAAAGGUAUAACUGAAGUAAAGCAAGAUUAAGCAUUAUGUUUAGUUAAACCACCAUACCAAGUAAGCACUAAGCAUGAUCUACCCAACAUAAAGUAAACCGGUUGGUCAAGGCAAAGGUAAAUCAAUCUAGGCGAACCUUAAUUGGGACCCAUCACUUUAAUCUUAACAUGUGCAUAGCAUAAAUGUUGAGUACGAGAAAGUAAAGGUGUAUAGGACAAAAAAAGGUAGUGAUCAAGGACACGACUUGCCUUCUUGGCCUUGCUCCUGCUGUUCGUACUCCUCGAAGGCUUGAUCUGCAACUCCCUCGAACGGCGGGACAUCUACACGUGUCACACGAGCACAUACAAGCAAACAUGGGCAAAAAGUAAGAAAACAGUACACCAAACAUAGAUAAUCAGAGAAAACAAGCUUGAAAAGAUGAUCUACGCUUUAAAACGAACACGUGGAUAUAAAGAACGCGAAAAACGGAGUUAAGAUGCAAAAGAUAUGAUUAAAACAAGAUCUAGGGACUUUUCUGUGAGAAAAACAAAACUUUUAGGGCCUAUCCGCGAAAACCGAGGGCUUAUACGUAAUUACGCGUAUAAACCGAAAGUCUAACGCGUAAAAACAUCAAAUCUGGACGGCGGGUUGAUUUCUGGAAAGCUCAAGGGUUAAACCGAAAAAUGCGAGGGCAGAUCUGUAAAUACUUUCAACGCGAUCUGGACCGCGGGUUGAUUUGCGAAAAAGGCGGGGGCUUAAGAGCAAAAGCGGCGCGGCGCGGCUCGGUUGACCGGUACGCGACCGGAUUGACUGGCCAUGAGCCGUCGGAUCUUGAUCCGACGGUUGCGGUCGUCGAUGACAUCGCGGCGGCGGCGGAAAACAGAACGGCGGCGGCGAGCGGCGGCGAGCGACGGCGAGCGGCGGCGGGUCGCCGGAGUCGACCGAAAUAAUGCCACGGGCAUCCGUUUCGCGCGCGGAAGGCACCAGAAGAAAGAGGAGGGCGCGGCGAACUCGUUUUGGGUGUCCUUGCCGAUGGGAGCUCACCGGAGGCGGCGAACGACGGCGGGGAAAAGGCGGCGGCGCUUGAAGCUCGGGCGCUAGGGUUUGGGGCUUCGGGUGCGGGUGCUUGAGGCCGGGAGGGGGGCGGCGGCUUAUAUAGGGGCUUGGGGAUAGAGGCGGCACGGGUUUAAACCCCCCCGGAGGAUUCGGAGCGGAGGGAGUCCGGGGCGGAGACGGCGCGCGGCGGUUGCGGGAGUCCCGGCCGGAUUCAGCCGGAGGAGGGAGAUGACGGGUGGGGUCCACCCGUCAGCGGACGCGGGCGGCAGGCAGGCCGGAGCGGAGUCGCGGGCCGGCGCGCGCGCUCGUGGGCCGCGAGGCGGGGGGUGAAGCGGCGGGCCGCGGCAGCGAGAAGCUGGGCUGGCAGGAGGAAAAAGAGGAGGGGGGCUGGCGAGCGGGCGAGCUGUGGAGGUGGAGGCGGGGUGCUGGGCCGCGGAGGAAGGAGCGACGGGCCGGCGAGGUGAGCGGGCCGACCGGCGCUGCUGGCGUUGGAGAGAAGGAGCUGGGCCGAAAGAAGAAGAAGAAAGGGGAGGAAAGGUGGAUGCGGCCCAGGAGAGGAAAUAGAAGAGAGGGAGAAAGGAGAAAGUUUUGGAAAUUCAAAUUCAAAUUUGGAGAUUCAAAUUUUUGAUUCAAACUCAAGAAAUCAAAAAUUAUGCACCAGCAUGAAUGCACAAAUAAUUCCUAUGAUGAAUUAAUUAAAUUAAAGAAAAUGAAUUUAAAUGCCUAGAAUUUAAAUGACACCCUAAUUUGAGCAAAUUUUAAUGAAUUUAAAUUAUUCAAAAUUUUGGGUGUUACACGCGCAGAGAAGGCCCGGGGCCCAGCCGGGCCGGGGCUCGGGCUGCGGUCUUCCCCGCUGUCAU